rnacentral:lncRNA from 1 species
UAAUUAUUUUAACUGCCUCUAACAGGCCACGAUUUCCACUCCCUACUUUAAAAUCAACUUUAGAUGAACAAAUAGAAUCACUUUGAUAACAAAUAUGCGCACAAAAUUAUUUCAAACAGAAACUCUCCCUUUUCUCUCUAUUUCUUCUUGAAGACAAAACCCUAGAUCUAGUUUUCUAGGUGGCCGACGGCCGUGUUUCGCCGUCGGCUCCACCUCCAGUUCCGUGUUCUCUUCUUCUUCUCGCUUCACUCCCUCUCUGCCUCUCUCAGCCGAUAUGCUUGUUGUUCUGUGGCUUGGCCUUUACCGCGGCUCUGGUGGUUCUAGUCCUUGGAAUCGCAGCGAGGUUAGGAGUUUUAGAGGGUUUGAGGUUUCUCGGUUGGGUGUGGGUGCGGAAGCUUAGGUUUGGGGUCCAGAUCUAGGUGUCGACAUGGAGUUUGUCUCUUUUUUACGCCCUUCAUCCUCCUUCUCGGCGAGGGUGCGCUCCUCUGGUGGGUCUGUUCCGGUGGGGAGCUAAGUGGUUACGGUCUGAGGGAGGGUUUCCUUGAUCUCGCCUCUUGUCUCUGUCCUGGUUCUUUUAGAUCUGUCAGUUAGAUAUCACGGUGGUUCGUCUGGUGAAGGCAUCGUUUCCGGCAGGGCAGAGCAGAUCCACUUCGGGUUCUCCGAUGUGGAGGCGUGUGAGACCAAGGAUCUGUGGCUUUGUCAUCCUGGGUCCUUGUUCUGUGGCGGCACGUUCGGUUCUAGCCAGCUUCAGGGGCUUGAUCUAGGGCCUGCUCUUGACUGCUCUUUGUGGAGUGGUGCUGGUUGUGUCCGUCUGUUCAGUUUCAGGUGCGGUGGUGUGGCGCUUCUCGGCGAGUCAUCUUCCUCAAUAAAGACUUGGCAUUGGCUUGCAGGUAUGCUUGACCUCGGGGUUUACUGUCUGAUUGUGUUGGCUGCAGCUUAGGAAGUCUUAUGCAAGCUGUUCUUGGUUGAACCAUAUCUUAAAGAGCGGAUCAUCGGCAAGCUAAUUUCUACCGGGUUCUGUCUCUCGAAUUAAUUGGGUUCCUCCUUUUGUGGCGAGUAGUUUGUUCUGAUUUUGACGAGUCGAUUGAUUAGCUGUUCUCUUUGUUGUCUUGGUUCCUGUAUUGACUAGGUUAGAGGUCUUCUGUUUAGUUGCAUUUCAAUUUUUCUGCUUCUUGUGUCUUCUGUACUUCUGUAAAAAACUUGAAAAUUGGUAAUAAUAUCUUAACAUUCUUACCAAAAAAAAAAAAAACUAUUUCAAACAGUUCUUCAAAAAGUGACUGAUGCUUUCAUCGUCCUUCCUAUAACUUGAUUUUUCUGAUCUUAACAAACGAUUAUGUAUAUUCUUGAGAUUAACCCAUCUCACCUAAGAAUAUUUGGAAUACACCACGACAGUGUAAGAAUAUAUAUAUAUAUAUAUAUAUAUCUAUUUUUUAACAGGUGUUAUUUAAAUAGCCUAUUUUAAAAAGAAAAUUUAAAUAGAUAAAUAUAUUAAACUAUAGUUUUUAUUUAAAUAUUAUCUUUCUCUUUAAGAAUUGCAGAGUUUGCGUUGUUCUAACAAAUGUGACAUAAUGUUCAAAAAAUAAUAAUACAAAUGUGACAUUACAAGUCUAAACCAAAAUAAAUAUUAAAAAAAACAACAACAAUAUACCAUACAUAAAAACAAUUUCUAAUAGAUCAUUAAAUUUUGGUCCCCGUUUUCAAAACGUAGAUUUUGUUUCCUAUUAAAAUAACAUAUAAAAGAGAAUUGUUUUUUUAUGAAAAUUUUAUAUAUGUUAUUAAAAUUUCAUUCGAAGUGUAGGAUAUAUAUUUUAUUAAAGUAGAAGUACUUUAAAUUUUUGUUUGGUAACAUAAAUAGCAGUUAAAAAAAUAAUGUUGUUUUGAAAUAUGAAUAGCAGUAAGUUAGGAAAAAAAGUAAUGGAUUUAUUCUAUUAUAAAAAUAAGAAGUCCAUUACAUUAUAUUAAAAAGUAAUGGGUUUAUGUUACUUUAUAUACAUAUUCAAAUCAAAAUAAUAAUUUAAAAUUAAUUUAUAUCAAAAAUUCAUUCAAAAAUAUACAUAUAUUCAAAAUUUGAUUUUUACUAACAUAUUUUCCAAUAACCAAUAUAAAAUUUUUUUCAGUUUAUAUAAGAAAAAUACAAUACAAAGCUCAAUUUCAAACACCAACUUAAAUUAUGAUUUUUAUAUUUCACAUUGAAAUUUAAAAAUAUAAUAUAUGUGAUUAUUUAUAUGAUUGUACGUAUAAAAUAUUAUUAAUUAUAAGAAACUUAUUUGAUCGUACGUAUAAAAUACGAUUAAUUAUAUGAUAACACAUAUUUUUGUAACCUAUGAUGAAACAUAUAGAAUAUAUAAUAGUGACAUAAAAACAAAUAGCAUCUUAUUUUUUUAAAAAAUACAUCCGUGCGGGCGUGCAGAUCAAAAUCUAGUAUCAUUUAAACUUCAAGUUUUGAGUUGUUCAAUGUUUUUGACAUGGUAAAAACAUUUCCUUUAUUUAAUUCAUAAAUUCUUCAUCUGAUAACUAUAACACCAGGGUAAGUUGUGAUUCUCUAUGCUUUUUGGAUUUCUGUUUAUGCAUGUAUACAUUAGAUAUUGAUGAUGUCUCCAAAUUAUAUUUUGCUUUGCACAGUCUUAGAAUUAUAUGGAAUAUGUAAACUUGGAGCAAUGAUAGUGACGAAUGAGCAAGUAAUGAGAUCUUCGAAAAUUAUGGAUUCAUGAUUUAAGAUAUUUCUCAGAUUCUCUGCGAUUAAAACAUAUCUGAAACUUAUUUAUUUUAUUUUAUUUUUAAAACAAUGUUGUUAGUAUCUAUCCAAUAUCUUAGUAAAAUAUAUCUGAAACUUUUUUCGUCAAAUAUAUAUAUCUGAAACUUUUUUAUUUUAUUUUAAAAAGCAAAAGAGUCAUGUAUCUUCUCUUUAAUCGUUCUUUUCUCCAUUUUUGUCAAGCAGCUUCUCUUUCCUCUCAUUCACAAGUCUGUAUAUCUUCACUCAUUUCUUUAGAUUAUCUCUAUAAAUUUAGAAAUGAAUUAUUUCAUGAUAUCAAACUUAGAUUUACUGUGUCUAACUAUGCUUGUUGUUUUGUUCUGAAAUUAGUUCUGCUUUUGUGUCAAGUUAUAGAAAUGGAGGCUCUGGUUUUCUUCAUUGUACAACUUAUUUCGGCAUUUGAAUUUGCCGUAAACAUAUGCAAUGAUAUCAGAAAAAACACAAAAAAUACAAGAACUCAUCAAAGGAUGAAUUGGACGGAGAAUUAGUGAAAAAAAAAGAUAAAUAUAAGAAAUCUUUUGUGAUUUAUCUACACGUUAAGUUCCUGGUUGUAUUUCGAUUUUCAAAACUCUAAACGGAAACAACUUAAAAACACAUAUUAAUUCAUGAGGUAACUAAAAACAGAAAUACUACUAAAUAGAAAAAUGAACUAAAGAAUAUUCCAUUGAAAAAAAAACUAUAAGCGUAGAUUUAUCUUUAACAUAAAUAUUAUUAUUUUAUUAUUUUUUGAACUUAUAUUUAAUUUAUCCAAGUAAUUAAUCUGCAGAAAAAAUGUCUUUUCACAUCUAAUAAAAAGUGUAGUUUUCGAAAAAUAAAAAAAAUGAGGUGUAUUUUUCAAAUUCCAAACUAUAAAUAAGGUAUUUUCAAUUAUCCUUUAAGAAAUGUUAAUCGAUGUUAUUUUCUAUAUUCAAUGGAGUUUGAUAUUAUUUUUAAAUUUUUUUUGAUGAAAUAUUAAAUUUAUUGAUCAAUUUGUAAAAGGGUUAUAUGUACAAAAAACUAUUCGUAUAGUGACUCUACUACUAAAGAAACUGCAAGACCCAAUUAUUUAUUAUUUAAGAAAAAAUUAAAACUGAUGCUAGAAUUAGUUCUUAAAUUCAGUGACAUUUUUUUUACAAUUUAAAUUAUUUGUAUUUUUAUAAUCGAUGAUAUUUCCAAUAUUCAUUGAGAUUUGUUACUUUUUACAAUAGAGUUACUAAAUGAGUAGAUGUCUUCCAGCACCAUGUGCAGUGAUAAAAUAUUUAAAUUAAAAAACAUUUUUAUAUAUUUUAUUAUUUUCUUUUAUUUUUUUUAAUUUAAAUUUUGAUUUAAUUAAAAAAAGAAGAUAAAAUAUACAGUUUUGUUCAUUUUAAAUUAUAUAUUAAAAUAAAUAUGUAUGUAUUUAAAACUAUAAUCUGAUAUAGAUUUUUUUCUAUUUCUUUUGGAUAAAAUAUAGGUAUGAAAUCAACUUGCAUAAAAUUAAUAAAAGAUUUGAUGUAAAAAGUUGUAUAAUUAUCAAAAAGUACAAUUAAACAAUAUUUCUAAAACUUUUAGAUAUAUAAAAGAAGCUGAAAACGUUUAUUUGUAAUAAAACUGUAUAAUUAUAUAAAAUAGAAAUAAAUAACAUUUCAAAAUUUGUAAAAUAUGCUUAUAUUUUUAUUAUUAUGUUAUUUAAUAUCAUAUUUGAAUAGAUUUACUUUAUAGAUUAUGUAUAAUUUACUAUUAUGUUCUAAAAUAUUUACCAAAAAUAUAAAUAAACAUUAAAUGGAGUUGUACAUGUAACAUUUAUCCAUAAGCCAUGUCAUGCCAUAUUAUUUAAUGAAAGUGAUUGUAGAAAGGACAUGUGUUAAUCUAUAUACAUCACUUGAGAAAUAAUGUUGAGGGGAUAAAAUACAUUCGGAUUUGUUAGUUCAUAUAUUCAAUGAUAUUUGCUAUCAUUUAUAUAGUUUGUGACACAAAUAAAAACUUUGUGUAUUAAAAGUUUUUUAAACCAUGCUAGGUUUUUUAGUUCCUAUAUUAAAUGAAACUAUGUGGUAAACCACGCCUUGCGCAGAGCUAUGGAUUAAAAAAUAUUAUAACUUUAAAACUAUAUAAAUUAAUUUAUUGGUGUACUUUAAGUAUAUUUAAAAAAUAAAUCCAUAAAAGUAAGAAAAGACUUAUAUAAAUUUAUUAUGAGUUUAAGAUAAAACAAAAUAUAAGCAACUAACUAAAAUUAACAAAAUAUAAAUGAUAAGAUCUGCGCCUUGGUGUAAUUUAAUUAUAUUUGAAGAGAAUAAAUAUGUAAGAGUAAACAAAGACUUAUAUAAAUUUAUUAUGAGUUUAAGAUAAAACAAAACAUAAACAACUAACUAAAAUUAACAAAAUAUAAACUUAAGCUUUUGUUACCAUAUUUUAAAAAUAAUAUCGAUUGGAUAUAUGGUUAGAAAACUAAGUAAACUUAACAAAAUAUAUAAUGCAUAUACGGUCACUUAAAACAUAACUUUGUGAACCCUAAGCUUAGUAUAGUUAGACCCUACACCUUAUAAUCAAAUCCCUAAACCCAUAUAGGUGAUGAUUGUUUUCCUAGUUUUUAGAUUCUAGUUUUUGGUUUUUGGAUUUUGGUUUUUGGAUUUUAGAUUUUAGUUUUUGACUUUUGGUUUUUGAUUUUGCAGUAGAUUUUGAUUUUUUGAAAAACAUGAAUGGUUGUUUUAGAUUUUGGUUUUUAGUUUUUAGUUUUAGUUUUUAUUUUUUAAAUUAAUAAAAUAAAAAUAUUAUGGAUAGUAAAAUAUUUAUUCUGAAAAUAAUAAAAUAUAAAACACUGUCAUUAAAAUACACAUAAAUUAUUUAAAAACUUAUUUAAAAAAUAUAUAAAUACAAAAUAAAACUAUCGUAAAUUCCAUAUAAACAUAUAUAUAUAUAUAUUUUUUUAAUUUUAUCUCAAAUGCCUUUUAUAUUUGACCUCAAAUGCUAUUAUACAAGUAAUUGAGCAUUAUAAAAAUAUUAAUAUCAUACAUUUGAUAUUUUUCUAAAAUAAUUUUUGCACAUAUUUCUAUGGUUAUUUUUGUUUAAUUAAUUAAAAUAUUGACUUUUAAAAUAAAAUUUCCUUUUGAAAUAUUUUUGAAAUUCUUUUAGUUUGCAAGUAAGAGAACUUCUUCUAAUCUACAAGUAUGAUCAAAUAUUUUUUGAGUGUUGAGAAGAAAAACUCGAAAGUUGUAUGUAUAAUCACUUACCCAUUUUAUAUUAAUAAAGCACAAAAAAUGUAUUGUGAUGUGAUGGUGAAAAACGGAUGAUAGUGGGAAUGGGGCAAAUAGAAAAGAAAGACCAGUUACAAAAUAAUAAAUAAACAAAGACUAAUUAAAAGAAAAUGAUAAAUAAUAAUUGCAUAAUAAAAAAAAUCUUCGUAGAAAACUGGAAAAAAACUAAAAAAACACAGAUUUUGGUUUUUGGGUAGAAUUAGGUAGUUAUUUGAAAAACUAGUUUCCCUAGUUUUUAGGGAAUCAUUUUUAACAAAAUCUUGAUUGGCAAAUAAAGUAGUUUUUCAGAAACAAAAACCAAAAACCAUUUUAAAAAUUACAAACAAUCAACCUCAUAAUCUAAACCCUAAACCCUAUAAAUAGAUUAACAUCAACAUACAAUCUAAAGUAUAAAAUACAUAAAGCAUUUCACACCAUGAAGUAUAUUAUACGAUAUGAUUAUUUUAUGGCAUAAAAAAGAAGAUAAUACGAAAUGUUAUACAGAUAUGAAGAAUUAUAAUAACAAUCGUUUUAUGUUAUACCGUAUUAAAUGAUAUGAUUGUUUUACUCUUAACAAUAUAGGGUAACUUGUUUUCUAAUAUUAAAACUGUAAUGGUAUACAAUAUAUUACUCCAUCGAUUUCAUUUUAAUUAUUGUUUCACACUUAUAAACAUAGAAUAAAAAAAUAUUUUUUUAUUUACUAAACAAAAACAUCAUUAUCAAUAAACAUAAUCACCUUUCAAUCUAUAGAAACUAGAAGGACAGUAGCCUAUUGGUUAAGGUUUAAAGGCUUCUACAUCCAGGUUUGGGAUUCAAAUCCCAGACUAUGCAAUUUAUUGUAGAUUACAGAAAAUCCAGGUUUCAAGUUCCGCAGAGAGCGGUUUAUUAAACAAUUAUACAGACUACAGAGAAAAGGCUUGCAAGGGAUCUUCAACAUGGUGCAAGUAAAUCUGGCCAGACGUGGAUCUUCAUAGGACGGCUCAGGUGAUGCAGUUAGGCAUAGGUCUUCAUAAGGCAGGUAAUAUUGUCGGUUGUCGAAUCGUCUAUGUAAUCUUUCCUAUAUCAUAAUUGUAAGAUCGUAAUAAAUCAGCGUCAAAAAAAAAAUCAAUAAAAACUAGAAAAUAAAACCAAUAAAUUUUGAUUUGAAAUUAUAAAACGAUAUUUAUUUUGAAAAAUAAAUUUUACUCUACCGCGAUAACUAAAAUGAAACGGAGAGAGUAUAUAUUAUUUUUAUAAAAUUUCAAGAAUCAGGGCUGUUUGUAAUAAUAUCUCAUUUUGAGAAAAGAAUUUGACGUCAAUAAGAGUUAAAGACCAAAGACGAAUAUUCUAUAACUAGCGACCAAAGAAAAGAAACAAAUCUAAAGAGCAUUAAAUUUUCUCUCCGACAAGACAUGCUUUCCAUCAUUUCUCUUUCAUCAAAAUCUUUCUUGUUCCCUUUUCUCUCUCUCUCUUCCAAAAAUCUCUCCUUUAUCCCCGCAAAGAACCAAAAAAAACAAAAAAAAACUCACACUCGACUAAUGUCGCCGGCAACAGAACUUCACGGCUCGUUCCUCAGCCGACUCAGCUUCCGCCGCAGCCAGAUCGUGUCCAUGGACGUCAACCACGAGCAACAGCUCCAAGAACUCGAGUAUUUCCAGAACCACGUCUCCGAGCGUUUCUCCGAGUUCAUCUCUCCAUCGCCGCCGUCUGAUCCAGUUCUCUCGAUCCCCUGGCUACGGAACCUCCUCCACGUUUUCAUCUCCUGCGAAACGGAGUUCAAGGAAGUCCUCCCGACCACUGCUCAGAUCUCGAAAACGCCUUCGCUGGAGAAGGCUUUGUCGGAAAUGCUCGAUCGGAUCUUAAAGUCGCUCGAUAUCUGUAACGCCGUCGUUAACGGCAUCGAAUCCGUUAAAAAAAGCCGGCGUCUUGCGGAGAUAGCCGUAACGGCGCUUAAACAACGGCCGUUAUGUAGCGGAAGCGUUCGCAGAGCCAAACGCGCGUUAGCAAGCCUCCUCGUUAGCUUAAACGCCGAUGUGAAAGAUAGGACCACCGGUGGGAGUAGUAGACGGAGGACAACGUCGCGGUCGUGGUCGUUUGGACAGCGCAGCAGCCACGUAAGCAAGAAUUGGUCUGCAGCGAAGCAGAUUCAGGCAAUGGUGGCUAAUCUUGUGCCACCACGUGGAGCAGAAGCGAUGCCGGUUUACAUAAUGAGCAGUGUUAUGGUUUUGGUGAUGUGGGUGCUUGUUGCUGCGGUUCCUUGCCAGACAAGCAGCGUUCCCGUGGCGCCGUUGCAGCUUCCUAAGCAUCAGAGCUGGGGUAGCAAUGCUGUGAAUGUUCAGGAGAGGGUUGGUGAAGAGGUGAAAGGGAAGGAGAAGCGUGGGGGUGGGUUGAUGGAGGAGAUGCAGAGGAUGGAGAGUGUUGGGUUGUCUUUGAUGGAGUUCACGGAGAGGUUUAGGUUUCCGGGAGAGGAAGAGGAAGAGGAAGAGGUUGAGGAGAAGGUUGAUGAGAUGGAUGAGAUUUGUCGGAGAAUGGAAGUGGGAUUGGAGGAUUUGCAGAGACAAGUGAGAGCAGUGUUCCAAAGAUUGGUGAGAAUCAGACUAGAGAUUGUUUCUGUGCUUGAUCUAAAUCUGUAAAUCUUAAAUAACAACAUUAAUAUUUUUAUCUCUUUUUUUUCUUUCUAGAUAAGACUAAUCUUUGAAAGAUCUUGCUGUGUAUAAGCUACAAUUCGUAUACAUAUACACCAUGUUUGGUUUCUGGUAUAUGAAAACUGCAAAAUUAUAUUGACCAGAGAUUAAUAGAUUCAUAGUGUCCUGACUUGUGAUUAAUAGCAAGUUGGGCCAGACUGAGAUAGCCCAGAAUGAAGAAGCAAAGGUGAAGCCCAUUACUUUAGCACCAACGGUAAAGUCGUCAACAUUCAACGUUCAAAGGAGCUCUCGAUGUACGACGGCUCCAGCUCACAUCAUCGGUACAUCCAACAGAUUUGAAUGCCUUACCUCAUGUGCUGUCACAUGCUGACAAACUAAGAGGAUAAGAUCUAUCUUGUAUAUAAAUAGGAAACGAUGAUGUAACGUUGGAUUAAGUUGAAUAACAAAAGUAAAGUUAAAGUUAUCUUCUUCAUUCAAGCUUCUCUCUCUGAUCUUUAUGGUAUCAGAGCAUGGAAGACAAUGAUCCGUUCACGUCUCCUUCUCUGAGUAUCACACACUGUGUUACUCUCAAACUCUCUUCCACAAACUACCUUUUGUGGAAAACUCAGUUUGAGUCUUUUCUGUCAAGUCAAUCUCUGUUAGGGUUCGUCAAUGGUGGCUCUGUUCGACCUUCGCCUACUGUCACUGUCCGUAACGGCGAUGAAGUCACGGAGCAGGCAAACCCGGAGUUUGGCAAGUGGGUUAAAAAGGAUCAACUUGUCAUGGCAUGGCUGUUUGGUUCACUGACUGAAGAAGCGCUUCGCUCUGUCUAUGGUCUUCACUCUGCUCAGGAGGUCUGGUUCAGCCUUGGAAAGAAGUACAAUCGGGUUUCAGCUACAAGGAAGCUGGAUCUCCAACGAAAACUGCAAGGUAUGGCUAAAGGCUCCAAGACUAUGUCUCAGUAUCUUAGUGAUGUGAAGAGUAUUUGCGAUCAGUUGGAUUCUAUAGGAUGUCCUUUGUCAGAACAAGAAGUCAUUUAUGGUGCUUUAGGAGGUUUGGGUAAAGAAUAUGAGUCUAUCUGCACUGUAAUUGAACAUUCGAUGGAUACGGCUGAGUUAAGCUUUGAGGAUGCAGUCUUUAAGCUUACCAACUUUGAUGACAAGCUGCAAGCGCAGAGCCAACCUACUGAGACAAGUCCUCAUAUGGCGUUUCAUGCUGGUCGUGGGUAUUCUAACCGUGGUCGUGGAAGUGGUACUUACAGAGGAGGAUACAGAGGAAGAGGUUCUCAGUCUUACUCUACUCGUGGUAGAGGUUUUCAGCAGCAGUUCACAGGUGGUUCGAACAACAACUCAAGACCAACAUGUCAAAUCUGUGGACGCUAUGGGCACUCUGCUGCUAGGUGUUACAAUCGUUUUGAUCAGGAGUAUGAAAGUCCGGAGAAUCUUCACAACGCCUUCACAACAAUCAGGUUGUCUGAUCAACAACAACAGUCAGGACAAGAGUGGUUUCCAGACUCUGCUGCCUCAGCUCACAUUACCAACAAUGAGUCUCAGCUCCAAUCUUCAGAGCCAUAUCUUGGUAAUGAUCAAGUCAUUGUAGGUAAUGGUGAUUAUCUACCUAUCACUCAUGUCGGUUCAGUUGCUAUUCACACGCCCCAAGGUACUCUACCUCUCAAAGAUGUGUUAGUCUGUCCUACUAUAACAAAGUCACUGCUCUCUGUUUCAAAGCUCACAAAAGAUUACCCAUGUGAGUUUACUUUUGAUUCUGACUCUGUGUGUGUAAAGGACAAGGAAACAAAGCGAGUGAUAGCAGCAGGAAGAAGGCAUAAGGAUCUCUACAUGUUGAAGGAUAAUCGGUUUAAGGCUUUCUACUCUUCAAGGCAGCAAGUCACAAGUGAUGGGGUUUGGCAUCAAAGGCUGGGUCAUCCUCACAAGGACAUUCUUCAACUUCUGGCCAAAAAUAAAUCUAUAGUUUUGAAUAAGAAAGACUGUCAGUUGUUUUGUGAUUCAUGUCAACUAGGGAAGAGUUGCAGACUUCCAUUUUUACCUUCUGAAACUGUUUCUACAAAACCUUUAGAGAGGCUUCACUGUGAUCUUUGGGGUCCAAGUCCUGUAGUUUCCUCUCAGGGAUUCAAGUAUUAUGUGAUUUUUGUUGACAAUUAUUCAAGGUUCACAUGGUUUUAUCCACUCAAGAUGAAGUCAGAUUUCUUUUCAGUGUUUCUUCGGUUUCAAACACUUGUUGAGAAUCAGUUUCAGGUGAAGAUUAAACAGUUUCAGUCUGAUGGAGGGGGAGAGUUCAUUAACAACAAAUUCCUUUCGCAUCUGUCCAGUUGUGGUAUUAAACAUCUCGUGUCUUGUCCGCAUACGCCACAGCAAAACGGUCUAUCAGAGAGGAAGCAUAGACAUAUCACUGAGCUUGGAUUAACAAUGUUGUAUCACAGUAAAGCACCUCAAAAGCUAUGGCUUGAGGCUUUCUUUACUGCAACGUUCGUUGGUAAUCUUCUUCCCUCGUCAGUUCUAGAAGAUAACAAGAGUCCCUAUGAACAGCUCCAUGGUCAGGUUCCAGUUUAUACUUCUCUAAGAGUAUUUGGGUGCAAGUGUUUUCCUUAUUUGAGACCUUACAUGAAGAAUAAACUUGAUCCCAAAUCUCUUCCCUGUGUGUUUUUGGGCUACAAUGAGAAAUACAAAGGGUAUAGAUGUUAUCAUCCUCCUACAGAUAAGGUCUAUAUAAGUCGUCAUGUUCUUUUCGAUGAGAGUUCUUUUCCGUUUGCUGAUCUCUACAGCAAGUGUCAUGAUCAACAAACAUCUCCUCUGAGAAGUGCUUGGUUAAAAACUGCAGUCACAGCAGCUAUCAAUGUGGAGGAGUCAGACGUUGUGUAUAACGAUGAAGAAGUUCCUCCUUUGAAGAAGAAGGUUUCUGCUCCGGUUCAGCUGCCUUCGCUGAAUGCAGAUGAAAGUCACACAACGGAGUCAAGUGAUUCAUCUUCAAGUGAUUCAUCUUCAAGUGCUAGUAAUGAUGAUCAAGAUCAAGUUCCACCUGUGAUUCAAGAACCUUUUCCUGCUCCACCGGUCCACACUAUGGUUACUAGAGCACGAGCAGGAAUUUUGAAGCCAAACCCUCGCUAUGCUUUAUUUACAGUAAAGACAGAUGCAGUUGAACCAAAGUCUCUGAAAGCUGCGCUGAAGGAUAAAAACUGGACUGCUGCGAUGGAUGUAGAAAUGAAGAAUAUGGAAGAGACAGAAACGUUUGAGUUGGUUCCACCAGAAGAAGGACAGAAUCCAUUGGGAUGUCGUUGGGUUCACAAGAUCAAACUAAACGCAGAUGGAACUGUCUUAAAGUACAGAUCAAGGCUUGUAGCAAAGGGAAAUGAGCAAGAAGAAGGAGUGGACUUCUUAGAAACAUUUAGCCCAGUUAUAAGAACAGCAACCAUCAGGACUGUGCUUCAUGUUGCGGUUACAAAGUCUUGGAAGAUUAAGCAACUGGAUGUUCAAAACGCAUUCCUACAUGGUGACUUGAAGGAGAAAGUCUUUAUGAUACAACCACCGGGUUAUGAAGAUCCAGCAAGGCCAGACUAUGUGUGUCGACUGAAGAAGGCAAUCUAUGGCCUUAAACAAGCUCCAAGAGCAUGGUUUGACAAGUUCAGUCUGUUUCUUCUGAAGUUUGGUUUUCAGUGUAGCUUCCCUGAUCCAUCAUUAUUCAUAUAUCAUCAAGGAACUGAUGUGAUAUACCUCCUGCUAUACGUUGAUGAUAUGAUCUUGACAGGGAACAACAACACACUGAUUGAUCGUUUGCUUGAACAGCUGAAUGGUGAAUUUCGUAUGAAAGGUGAUUGUUUCCAGAAGCUUUCCUAUGUUUCUUACCGGGGCGCUUUGGUUCUGUUCAGCUUCCAUUAGUGUCUGAAGCUGGUGUGUAUUGUUGAUGUGUGCUCUUCUGUCAGCUAUUUCUUUCAAUGUAUGCAACUCAAGAUCUUUAAGAAAAUUUACAAAGAGUGAGAUAGAAACCUCUAAAACUGUCUGGAGGAAACUCAUGUGCUUGUCUGGUGUGGAUGAUUGGACCGCACGGGUGCCACACUUCCUUAUCAAAAUCUCAACUAUGAUCGUUACCUAAAUGCACAUCUUUAAUAAGUCAAUCAUCACGUUUGAGGAAGGAGAAGGAAACUAAAGUUAAACACACACUAUCAUUGUCACCUUUGAUUUAAAGUAAAUGUCUUGAAACAGACGACCAGGGGAGAAAAAAAAACUUUCACAAAACCCAAAACAGCCUGGAGAUGCACGAAAAUGCAUGAGAAACUUAAGGAGAAAACCAAGCUUACAUACUUAGAGCAACAGCAGCCUGUGGACUUACUUUUAUAAUCUCAAUUGAUUUGGUGUGAAGCAAUGAUAAAACAGAGGAAAGAAGCUCUCAGGUGACGAUAAUAAGCAUAUCUCAGUCUCUUUGUAUAUCAAGACAGAUACCGCAGUCAUAUGAGAGAUAACGAGAGUGGACUAAACUGAUACCAGGGAGCUCCUCUCAUGCACUUUCCAUGUUAACCAGUACGCAUCACAAGGCCACAAGCUGCUUUACUAUGUUCUUCUUUUCCCUGUAUAUACAAAGCCAAGAUAAUGCUAAACAAAUGUCAAAACUUGUCUAGUAAUUCUAUUGUUUAAUUCAAACAGUAUGCUUACUUACAUCUCAAAGUGUAAGGAUCAUUUCGUUCAGGAUAAGGAAAGCCUUCUCAUUCUCCUCCUAGGAGCUUGACUGUAGGAAAAAUGUAAUAUAUUAAGAAUAUUAGUCAAUGUUUUCAUAAAGCAACACUGAACUAUACAUCUUUAUAUAAGAAAACAGCAUGGACAUACUAUAGUUCAAGUUUGAUGAAUAGUCUUUCAUUAACAACAAACGCCAUAUACAUAUAUGGCAGAGAGAGAUGGAAUUGUAGCAGUAUACGAUCGGAGAGAACCAAAUAUUUUCUCCAGAUACUCUUGAGCACCAAAUCUUUUAACCUAAACUCACAAACCAAGAUUGCUUUGUCACCACAAUAUGAUAUAUUUUUUUUGGUAAAAAUUGAAGCCUGGCUUGUCCAAAAUGAGUUCAUAGAAACUGCAACUGCAACUAGAGAAAGCUCAACAUCUUAUAAAAGCGUUGACGUCAAAGCUUAGAAUCAUGAAGAAAAAUAUUAGAAGCUUGAUAGUUUUCUUCUUCCUUUAGAACUCUGUUUUCUCUGUUGAUUCUCUGACAUGUCUUCCUCAUUUCUGCUCUAUAGUGUUUCUACAUGUAUCUAUUGGCGAGUGAGAGUAGAUUUGGCGUUUUAUGAACGUGAAAUCAAAUGCUCCGUGUUACUGUUCAUUAUCACUUUUAAUCAUGAGUUUCCCUGUAUUAUUCUCCAUCUUCGAACGCAGUUUCGUCGUUAUCAUCUGCUCGUUCUUGCUGUCCUGUUUCAAAGGCCGCCAUACCCAAACCCACUUUGAUUGAUCCUGGUUUCUUCCCCCGGUGGCCAGCGCUUGUAGCUUAUGCCCAUGGAGACCUCUUUUCUUCUCCUUUCCGUUGAUGUAUUAGUUCGCGGAGUACUAUACAUGAGGUACUACGUAACGUGUUGCAUGAAGCUGGAGCCAUAUUGAAGUUCAUGUAUUGAUUUCUUGAACUUAGAAAAGGAAAAGGAAUAAUGUGUGAAAACAAAUAGGCGUUUUCCAUUAAGCAAAAGAGAAUUUGUUUGAAGAAAAAAAUUGUCAUUUUUUUGUUUGCAUAAAAGAAAAUAAACAUUAACAAAGAGAUUUGGAGAUCUUUACUUGGAAAAGAAAGCUAUAGAAUAUACCUAGUAUGGAAGCUCCCUUAGUCUAGUGGUUUAACUAAAUGUUCAUCAAUGCUUCUACAUUAGGAGGUCUGGGGUUCAAAAACCCGAGUAACGCAAAUUAUAGAGAAAUAUGGUUACAAGAGGUCUUCAGCAUGGUGCAUGGCGUAUCAUCGAACAUGGAUCUCAUAGAGCAGCUCGGAGUAAUGCAGUCAGACGUGCAGUCUCAUAUAUGAUAGAAUUAUCGACUGUAAAAUCAUCUAUGUAAUAUUUCUCAUCAUUGUAAUGACAUAAUUAAUCAUACGUUAAAAAUAAAAAGAAUCUACCUAGUAUAACUAGGUUGGAGAGUUUUCCAAGAGAUUAACACAGAGAAAAGUAUUCUUAGCAAAAAGGGUUUCAUUACUUGUAUGGUGAGUGAAAUAUAAAAGGCUAAGAAGAAAGAGUUUCUUAGGAUCAUGUGUUAGAUCAUAGAAAUGUGUGAGUCUAGUGUUUCCUGAUUAAUUAAGACUUGUAAGUUUACUUGGAAGAGAUCUAGUAAUGACGUAUGUCUUUGUUGAGAAAUUCUCUUCUGUUUUUGUGUUCAUUUACUGUAGUAUUUCUUGAGACAGUACUCGUACUACUCUAUGACGUAGUUUCUAUAUUCUAGCCAUGAUAUUGCAAAGGUUAUUUUUCCUAAUUAUAAUUUUAUGUAACUAUUCUAUUACUCAUAAUUCCCUUUAUUUAAAAUACACUUAUACUAAGUUUUUUAAUUAUAAGAAAUGGUUAGUGCCCUAUACUAAAAAACUAUCUUGGAUCCCCCCUUGGUUGUCAGGGCCAGCUCAAAGACAUGGACCAGCAGUGCACCCGUUCAGAGCCCACGUACAAAAAGGCCAGUACCAACGUACAAUAGGACCCAUAUAUUCAACCUGUUGAAUACUUAGAAGGCCUAUUCUAAAAUGUUCCAACCGUGUUCUUCUUUAAAUUUUUACUAGACUUUGAUCCGCGCUUUCAAAGCGCGGAUUUAUUAUUAUUUUUUUUCAAUUAAUUAUUUAGUAAAUAUCAUAUUUUCAUAUAUUUGUAUUUUAUUUUAUAAAAGACUUAAACUUUUUAUCUUUAUUUAUCGUAUUUCAUUUUAAAUGACUAUUUAUGUUUAAAAAAUUAAAAUUUAUUUCUUUAAUGAAUUAAGUUUGUAUAACUCUGAUAAAUUAAUUUUAUUAUGUAGUUAAUAUUUUAAUAAAAAAAUAUAUACUUUUAAUAAAGAUUUAUACUUUUCAAUGAAAAAAAUCAAUUUUUUUUUAUGAAUGCUUAAAUUAUAUUAAGAAAAGAAAAAAAAUAAUAAUUAAGAAUAGUUGAAAAAAAAUUAUUUGAACUUGGACUCAAUGGCCCAAAGGAAAAAAAAAGUGAGAAUUGAAUCUGAUUUUUUAAUAGGCCCAAAUGGCCCAAGAGAGAUUUGAUUUGGGCUGGAUCGAAAAAUAAUGACCCAAUAUAGAUUUGUCAUUAAUAUUACUUAAUUGCCCUUAAUGAAACAUGCAAUGUUAGUGAAAGAAACAUGCCCCUAAGGUAAUUAUGACAAUAGGAUCCUGCUUUAAUAGUAUAGAUAUAAUUGUUUGGCAGCACUGUAAAAAAAAAAGCAUCAAAUUUAUGUUAAAAAUAUUGGGCGGAGCGGACCAUUGCGGUAGUAUAUCAUUUUUAUAGUUUUCUUGUUGAUUUGGGUUUUAUACAUGUAUAAAAUAAAUAAUGAAAACUGAGUGGUUUAAUUUGGACCAACUUAUUUUAAAUCAAGAUUUAUUUGUAUGCUUAUUUAUCUUUAGAAAUUUAUCCAUUACCAUUGCCUGCAUUAUUGUGGAACUGUUUAGUUUAUGAUUUAUUGUAUACGUCAAUCCCUUCGUGGUAAUCGGUAUUCUAGAACGGCUCUUUAGAAGUGUUAAAAAGAGAUUGAAGCUUUUGUUCAGGGUUUAGGGAACACGAUUUAAUAAACCGCUGGGUACACUAACCGGGAACUCAUCCGGUUUAUUUAGUCAUGUCUGAUUCUCACAUUACACUGAUUUGAUUAUGGUUUAGGUUCAAAGUUAAAUUUGUUAUGCGUUUAAUUUUUUUUUUAGGUUUUGAAUUAUACACACAACUUUAUUUUUUGUACACUUUAUUUUUUGUACAUAAACCAAAUAGCAACGCUAAAUAAUCUUUAUGUAAGGUUUAUAAAAAAAAAACAUAUAUGCUAUAGUUGAUUUUUUUUUAUUUUGAUGAUUAACAUAAAUCAACUAAUUACAGUUGUGUACAAAAGUUAAAUAUCAAUCUAUAAUAUUUUUAUAGAAACCAUUUAAAUGAAUAUAUGCACUAUAUAUGUAUUAAAUUAUAUAAUAUUUUCGUAAACACUUAUAUAUAUUUAGUUGACAUAUUCAUAAAUUUAAUAUAAUUUCUGUAAAAAGUAUUUAGACACAUUAUUUUGUGUGCUAUAUACUUUCAUAUUUAAUAAUUCAUAUUUUAACUGCAUAUGAUUAUAAAUGGUAAUGGUUAUUCAUAAUUCCUUAAUAUCAAUAAAAUAUCAAACAUAUUUUUUUUGUUCUUACAUAUACAUGUAUGCAUUUAUAUAUUUUAAAAAUUUAAAUGAAAAUUUUGCUGAUACAAUAACAAAUAUAAAAAUUGACAAUAUUAGUUUUAUAUUUGAACUAAAUGGUAAGAAAGAACCGAAAAUCGAAUGAAGAUACAAAAAAUAAGCGCAAAACAGGAAUACUCUUAUAAUUUUUGUAGCUGUCACAAAUUUUCAUAAAAUUUAAAUUACAUUAUAUUUAUUAAAGUGAUGAUAUUCAUUUUUAUUUUUGUAAACAUGAUAUUUAUUACUUAUUUAUAAUAAGUUUUAUUUUUUAGAUAUUUAGUUUUCAUUAAAAAAAUUCAACAUUUAUUUAAAUAUAAUAAUUUAUUAAAUUAGUUUGAUCUGCAUUUGUUGUGUUUGAUCUUCAUUUUUGUUUGAUCUGCGUCACCCAUUAUAUGGAAAAUCCAUUUGGCGUCAACUUUUCAAAUGUCUUCUACUUUGGAUUGUUCAUGUAUAAAUUAUGAAUCUUGUGUUUUGAACUUUUGAAGAUAUUAUAUUGUAUAUAGAAAGGAAUCUAGUUCUAGUUAUACAAUAUAAUUUUAAAAGACGUUGAUUCCUAAAUAAAGGAAGAAAUAUAUACUUGAUGUUCAAGUAGCCUUUUAAGAGAAAUCACAAAAAUUAUACUAUAAGUGUUUCUCAUGAAUUUUAUUUUAAUUUUACCAAGAAAUAUAUACUUGAUAUCUCAUGACAAUACUUAUACCUGUAAUUUCAUUUUUGUUAAUAGUAUUUUAGGUAUAGAGAUUUUGUAGUCUUUCCACAUCUUUUUAAAUCUGCAUGAAUCAAUCAUUAUUUAUUAGCCAUGUAAUAUAAUUUCUUCUAGCAUGCAAAUGCUACAAAAAUAAAUAGAGAUUUUGGAAGACCAGCAUAAGAGACAGAAAAUUUGUAGUAAAAAUUAUAUGCGUACGCUGUUAACAUAAAUAACUAAGAAAUUCAUUAUUUUUUUGGUAAUAAGAUAUUAAAUUAAGAAGCAAGUGCAGAUGAAUGAUAAGUAGAAGUAUAGGACACAUGGAUCUGUCAAUUAAUCCAUUCCAAUAGACUCAACAUCACAGAAACCUAAAAGUCAUACAAAACCCCAAUUGAAUAUGCUGCAACGUGCAAAGUUUACAGAAGUCGGAAUGUUAAAUAGUUGAGAAAGAGCACUAAAGAUUAUUCAAAUAAAAUUGAACAUAAAACCAACCCAAUGUCUGGAAAGUAGAUGACUAAUAUAAAUUGGUCAGACCAAAGUACCUCAGACAGCCGCACCUGCUUCUGAAAAUUUCCACUCACCAUACAAAGCACCUUCUCGUUCUUUUACACUGCACAAAUAGUAAAGAAGGUUUUAAGAAUGAUCAAUUUUCUGGUCUGGUGUCUCUUGUUCAUUAGCACAUUUACAAUUAAACAUUUGUGUACAGGAUGAAAAACGUAUAAUCUUGAGAGAAAACAUUGCAUGUGAGCAAAUGAGGCCUGAUAGAUAAAAACCAUAGUAGAAUUAGAGAACAGAGUGAGAUCUAAAGAGAUUAAUAGAGAGUAAAAUAAGAUAAAGAAUCAUAUGAAUUAACAAUUUUUUUCGGAGAAGAAGUCUUGCAUGUCCACAUCGAGUUUGUGGAUUACUGGAUUAGAGAAGGAAAAAAAUGUGUUUUUUAAGAAAUCUGCAGUAAUAGAAUAUCAUUGCACAAGUAUAAAUGAUAUAGUGGAAGUAGUUAUUCGGAAAUUGCUAGUUCAUGGAGGUGUGAAAAGAAGAACCGUCCUCGAGGUGGAUUGAGAGAAUAUUUUUGAUUUUCUAGUAAAAACUUAAAAUUAAAACGUAAGUGGGAACAUUUAGUCUUUUGUAUGUUUAUUCUUUCCUUUUUAAAAAUUUUUAUUUUUAAAUUAUGUGGUAAAAUUCUAGAAUAUGAUUGGUUGAGUGACUUUUGCUUUCAUAUUUUUCUAACGCUUUGUUUUGUUAAAACUGAUUUAGAACACAUUACAUCAUUGGAGAGUAAGAUUUAACGAUAACGAGAAACUAAUGGUCUUUCUACACUAGAAACUAAUGAAGACAAACAACAUUGAUGACAUUUUAGUAAUACAAACUGAUCUUGUUUCAAAAAAAGAUAUAUUAGGUGUUUCCGUUCCAAUAAUAGCAGACGAACUUCUAUUACCUUCAACUGAAACAUGACAAUAUCUCAUCAUCUAAAUAAAUCUUCUUCUUCGGUUGUCUUUCUCAAUUCUGUCUCAAGUUAGCUUUAGUUAAGAUACUGUUGAACAAAACUGAAAUACAAAAUAUAAAUCAGAUAGAUAGUUGGGAUUGAUGGUUCAUAUCCAAUAUAACCACCCAAAAUCCCAUAAGAAUAUGGAAGUAAACCAAUCCUAAAGCAAAACUUGAUCCACCUCCUUGCAUAGAAAAAAAUUGAAAGACAAAACCACUUCAGCACCAAUAACUCACUCAAUCGAAGACCAAACACACUCAAAGAAAAAAAGAAGCUGCAUGAUAACUCAUCAGAAAGACGAACCCAAAACGGAUCUUUAAGCCAGUGCAAAUGAACUUGUUAUCAGCAAAUCACUUAUAGAGAGUUAAUAUUAGACAAAUCGAGAGCAAAAAAACUAAUCUCCUUUCGUCAUUAUACAAUCGAUGUUGCCUAUUUGUAUACAUAUAAAGUCUUAAAAAUUUUUAAAAUGAGAUGUAAUACGUUAACUCUUUAACAACGAUGAUAUAUUUAAUAGACCAAUAUUUUUAUUAAUCAUUUUAUAAUCGAUAAAGAUUGUAGUAUUACAAAAUGUUAAAAUCAUUUCAUAAACAAACAUUAUUAUAAUAACUCAGCCCGCGCACGCGCGAAGAUUAUCAUCUAGUAUACAGAGGAUUUAGUAAUGACAAUAAAUGAAAAUUUUCAUUAAUAAGGAAAAUGCCCUUUUCCGUCAUUUACCAAAUACUAGUACUUACUUUUAUUUUAUGCUUAAACGCCGCAGUUAAAAAAGAAUGGACACAUGCAUGCUAUGUUUUAUUUAGGGGCACAACCUAUGUAUAUUUUUUUUUCUUCCAAUUUUAGGGGCACAACCUAUAUAUUUAGAUAAUGGAAAAAAGUUGAGUUUUUUAUUUGAAAAAGAGGAAAUGCUUGCUAACUUGAGAUGAUGGACCAGAUUCUAAAGGCUUAUUGUGAUUGCUGUCUAUGUAUAAUUUAUUAAUAAUACCAAUUGUUCCACAUAUAAACUUUCAGUAAAUAAAUUUGAUAACUAAAAUUUCAGUAAUCUUACUUUUAUAUAUACAAGUAACAAAAAAAAAACAACAUUUAAAUCUCUCUAUAAUAUUAUUUGAGAAGUCAGUUUCUUAUGUGUCGCGCUCACGUUAACUCUCACGAUGGUUUAUUACACUUACACCCUUAAUGAAUAAAAAAUAUUAUUAGUGAAUUCUAUUUUUUAUUAUUAGUGAUUUCCAUUAAUAACAAUUAUUUAUGUUUCUUUUUUCUUAAUAUAACUGUGAUUAACUUUUUACUGUAAUUUUCCUUUUUAUUAAAACAUAAAUAAUAAAAAGAAAAAAUAUAAAACAUAAACAUAGACAUUUAUAUAAAACGAAUUUAGUUUUUUUUAUUCUUUAUGUUUCCUACAACAAAAAUAAAAAAAAAAUCAAUAACUGUUAAAAAUUUAUACUUAUAAAUAUAUAUAAAAAAACUUCACAAAACUGAAAAAUAUAUUAAAUUCAGAUAUAUUUUUCUAAAAGAGAAUAAUAUUUUUAUUAUAAAUAUCUUUUGAUUUAAUAAUUAAUAAGAAAAUAAUUUGGAACAACAUAAAUGGUUAUUUAGUAGAAGUCAGUUUCUUAUGUGUCGCGCUCGAGUUAACUCUCAUGGUGGUUUAUUACACUUACACCAUUAAUGAAUUAAAAAUAUUAUUAGUGAUUUCCAUUUUUUUAUUAUUAGUGAUUUCCAUUAAUAACAAUUAUCUAUGUUUCAUUUUUCUUAAUAAAACUGUGAUUAACUUUUAAUGCAAUUUUCUUUUUUAUUAAAACACAUAAAUAAUAAAAAUAAAAAUUUAUAAAAUAUAUAUAAAAACGAAUUUAGUUUUUUAUUCUUUAUGUUUCCUACCACAAAAAUAAAAAAUUCAAUAACUUUUAAAUCUUUAUACAUAUAAAUAUAUAUAAAAAUAACUUCACAAAAACUUAAAAAUAUAAUAAUUCAGAUAUAUUUUUAUAAAAUAUAAUAAUAUUUUUAUUAUAAAUAUUUUGAUCUAAUAAUUAAUAAAAAAGAUUUGGGCUGGAUCGAAAAAUAUGAUCCAUCGGUUCUUCCAUCAAUGGUGCUAAUCUCUGCAUUUUUCUCUUUUGUUUUUUUUGUUCUUUUUUGGUACUUCUUUCCUCUCUCUUUGUGCUCAAGCAGCUUAUAGACUUAGUGCGUCUUGUUCACCUUUCUUUUUCAUUGUUUGUUAAUUAUUGUUAUUUCUUUCUCUCUCUUUAUAGAAAAGUUAUAUUGGCAUAAGUCGUCACCACCUUUCUUUCUCUCUAACCUCUUUUGAGUUUUACUUUGAACUAGGUCCUUGUCCGCGCUACGCGCGGAUAGUAUUUUGAUAUUUUUUCAUAUUUUUGUACUAUUAUGUUAAUUGUUUAGUUUUAUAAAAUGUUAUGUUUUUACUGUAAAUUUAGAAUUAAAAAUCUAAUUUUUCCUUACUGUAAAGUAAGUUAAUUUUUUUGAAUCUUACUACAACACAUUAUACACGAAGAAAAUAUAGUUGGUUUUUAUAUUCUUAUUUGGUGUAAUAUUAAAAAUUUUGAUGUUUGUUUAAAUGAUUUUUUUAAAUUAUAUAUUUUAGGAUUGAUUUUCGUGACUAUAUUUUAUAAUUGGCUAAAAAAAAUUGUUUGUCCCAUAUAGACAUCUACAUAAAUGUGGAUUUCUGAUAAAUUUGUUCAUUGAGAUAUUUAGUUUCACUUUUAACUUUAUUCUCUUUUUUGGCACCCUCAUGCUAGCUUGUGGGGCUAGCCAACUUGGUGCAAAAGGGUUUACAAAAGCUGAUCGAGAUGCGCGUGAUCGGACACCUUUUGUUAGGCUAUUCGUACGAAAUUUUAAAGAUCUAGGAAUAUAAGCAAUAGAAAGUUCAGAAAAUUCUUUGGAUACAGCCUGUAUUUCGUCGAGCUCCGAGUCCAAUGCAGGUUAAUUUUCCUCCUUUUGAAUGAGUAUAACCAGUUGUUCACAGUCGAUUGAAAGACCAUCUCUCUGUGUCCAAACUUCAGUAUCACUUGCAUUACCCAUAGCAAACCUUCAGCUUCCGCCUGCAGUGGUGAUUUGGUGCGUGUAUAUCUGCCUUUGCUCCAAACAUCAUUAGAAAGUCACCAUCCAUUAACACAAAGCCAAGUCCAGAUAUGUCUCUUUCAUUUAUCCAGGAUGUCUAGCAGGAGCGUUUUUUUCCAGAGGAACAGUUGUGUCUGUUACCUCAACUCCCAUAUCAAUCUCCAUAAACUCGUCUAUACGUUGAGCUAUCCUCCAACACUCUGCUUCAAUUUUAUUCGCUAAUGGGAAAGACAUAAUUCCUAUGACACUAUUAAUGAUUGUUUUUUUUUGUAACACCGGUACGGCAAACUUAUGUUUUAUUUAACAAAACUUUUAUUUUAAUUUCGUAUUAAAGAAUCAAUCAUAUUUUAUAUUAUCCAUAAUUUUAGUAAAUUUGCUUAUUUGUCAUGUUUUUUUUAGGUUUUAGCUAAAUCAUUGAUUUAUUAUUUAUUUUUAGCUAACUCACUAAUUUAUUAAUUUAAAAAAUAUCCUUAAUUAAUAUUAUAUAUAUUAAAAAUGAAUUUUAUUUUAGUAAUAUUAAAUUUCUAUUUUAUAUUAAAAUUUAGUUAGUUUUUCUUAUUUGUCAUAUUUUAUUAGGUUUUAGACUUUUUGAUAGGUUAUUGAUUUAUUAUUAAUUUCUAACUGAUUCGCUAAUGUGUUAAUUAAAACAAUACCCUUAAUGAAUUAUAUAUAUAAUUAAAAAUAAAUUUUAUUUUAAUCAUAUGAAGUUUAUAUGUUAUAUUAAUAUUAAAUAUUUGAUUCUAAAAUAAUAUAAUAAAAUUAUAGAAAAAUUUAAAAAAUAAGACAAUUUUAUAUAUUUUUUGUUGCUAUCUGAAAACAAUAUUUUUAUUAUAAAAGUUAAAAAAAUACAAAAAAUUAUAAUUAAAUAUUAUUCAAGAAAAAAAAUUUAUAUAAAUAUAUUUUCUAAACUAUUUCUAAGAUUUGAGUGUUUUAAAAAAUUUAACACGGGAUGUUUAAAACACGGGAUUAUGCUUGUGAGAGAGUGGCUGGGAAUGGGCUUCGAGAUGGGUCGAAUGGACUUUAAAAAUAACUUUUUUUUUAACUCAAACCCAAUCCGGAUGACAUGGCAUCUUGAUUGGUUCAUAAUAUUUUACCUAUGUGGCAUGGCUUAGAAAUGAGGGAUUUAGUCCCUUUUAUAUAGUAGGAUGAAUCUAAUAUUGAUGAUGUAAUAUACAUAAAUAUGUAUUAUACGUGUGUAUGUAGAGUAUUAUACAUUAAAAAUACAAAAAUUCCUUCCCGAGUACUCCCCGAUUUUUCUCCGCGUUUUCAAUAAAUCGCUAGGCCCGUAUGCGCCGCACGCGUAGCGCCUAGCGAGUUUCCGAACAAGGGUUAUCAGUAAUCUGUAAGCGAGCAUUUAUUUUGAUUCUUUAUUUAUAAAAAAAACAGUACCUCUUAUAUAUUAAUUGAGUAACAUUGCAACAUUGUUUUGUAAUCAUGUGUCACCGUGAAAAUAAAAUUCAAAAUUCAUAGAAAAAUAGGUUGGCUCAUCUUAACUUAUAUUAUAUUUUUUAUUAAACUAACUAUUAAAUUGAUAAAUAGUAUACAAUAGAAUAUUCUCGCAUUUUCAUUAAACAAAAGCUACGGAAUUGUCUAAUAUGAUUAACAUAUAUAUAUGACAAUUAACGAUUAUGAAUAAUAAUUAUUUGAUAACAAUUUUUGUAUCUUAGCUCUUUUUGUUUAUUUUAUAUUAUCGAAAAGUCGCACAUUAGAAAUUUUGUGUUUAUCAUAUGAAUAUGAAUUCUCAAUAAUAAAUAUCUAUAUUAAAAUAUGCUAUAUAUAUGUCUAUGUCAUUGAAAUUUAGUUAUAUAUUGUACCAUAUAAAAUAAAUAAAAUAUUUUUUUUGAUUAGUUUACCAAAAAAAUAUCGUAAAUAAACAAGAUGUAUUGUUUUAAUUUAUAUGAUUAUUCUAAUUUAAUUAUAUACAUAAUACGUAAAUGAAUACAAAUAAAUAUAAUUUAUAAAAAAAAUUAUAUAUAACAUUCAUCCCGCAAAAUUGUGCGGAUCUUAACACAAGUAAUAAAAUAUAAAGAAACAUCAUUUAAUUGAUCAGUAAUCUGUAAACCAGCAUUUAUUUUGAUUCUUUAUAAAACAAUUGAAAUAUUUAUAAAGAAUUGUAAUAAUGCAUUGAACGAUUAAUCCGUCACCACUAUACAUCUUACGAAUCCAUUAAUUUUAUUGGAUUUCUCUGUAAUGAUAGUCGUCACCUUUCGAAAUCGAUCCUGACCGUCCAAGAUCAAAAUCAGUAUUAUCAAGUUUGAUGAGCCUUCCUUUUAAGAAGAUGAACAAGAACGUUGUCAAAAAAAAAAAAAAGAAGAUGAACAAGAAAGAUGUUUGAUCUCUUUAUACAUACCGAAAGAAACAAUUAUUCGGUUGUUCGUUUUUGUACCCAGCCACUAGCCAUCAAGGAACAUUAGGAAUGAUUGGAAAAAAAAUGAAUAGGAAUAAAAUUUUGGGAACGACGAGGAACAAAGGUUCCUUGUCAAAAUUAACAAGGAACAAAUCAAUACUAUUAAAAGGGAAUGAGUUUUAAUAAAUCUACUUAAAAAAGUUGUUUGGACGAUUUCAUUAAUUAAUAAUAUUUUGGUCUUACUUUAAAUUUCAACUAACAAUUAGUUACCUUAUAUUUAUCUAACAAUCAUUCAGUCAAUAUUUUUAUGUAUUAGACCCUUAUCUUUUUGUUCACUAUUUGAUUAUACCACAUAUAUACUUUAUUUAUUAGACCGCAUCAUUUGGUACACGAAAAUAUUAUACCACAUGAUACACUUCAUUUUAUUAAAACACACUUCUUAUCAAUACAUCACUUAUUAAUCCCAACCACGGGUUGUAGCAAUAUUAAAGGUUUAACGUUCAAAUAUGGGUAAUUCAUUACAACAUUAAAUGAAACUAACAUGUAUUGUAAGUCAAUUUCUAUAAUCCUACUAUAUAAAAGGAGCUAUUUUUAAAGCUUCUAAGGAGUGUCACAUAGGAUGAAAUAUUCCAGACCAAUCGUUUUGCCAUGUCGGUUUUUAGCUUAUGGGCCUCAAAUAAUCUAAACCCAUCAAGAUAACCAAUCAAUUUGCAAAGGUUUUUGGCUUGGCUACAUCUGAUUAAAUUUCGAACCAAUAAAAAUAGCCAGCUGUCUAGACUAACCUAAAACAUCUUCAUUUCUUCAAUUUUCGUUGCCGAAACCAAGCUCUCAACCUCUCGCCUUUUCCCAUUCUUUUCCCAUCUUCGUCACUUUUCAGAUUCUCAUUUCAGUUGUAACUUUAGCUAUAACUACAUUCCUCACAUCAAAGACAGAUUUUUCACGAAUCACUUCAACUUCCCCUCUCAAACCCUAUAUAUAUGCCGAUGUAGUCAUCCUAAACCCUGUCAAAUCUUAAGCAACAAUGGCUUCCUCUCAAGUAUCUUUCUUAUUUCUUUCCCGGAUCUUCAGAAAGAUCUCGACAUCACCAAUUUGAGAGGAAUAUGACGCACCCAUAAGUUUCCUUGGAUUCUAUAUGCUUCAUUAUUUGUUUUUAACUUCUAUUCCUAGAUUUAAAGCCUCAAGAUUUCAAUCGUUGGUAAGUCUUAGUGAAAGUUUUGUCUUGCUUUUACUACAGUUGGUAAUAUGGCUGAGAUCGAGACUUAGCUUAGGUGUGAAGCAAGAGGAUUAUUGCGUCUUACAAUAUAACAACUUAUGUUUUGCCGGUUUUUAUAAAAGAGAUAACUUAAGUGGUAGAGGGUAGACAGAUGAGCAGAAAAGAAAAGUAAAUAAAAAAAAUCAUUGCUAUGUAUAACAAAACCAUUUGUUCAGUGAAUCAACUUAAGAGUUUUUUUUUGAUUGUAUACUCCUGGUCAGUUCCUUAAAAUAGUUGUAUUAUAAAUGUAUAACUGUAGUUUUAGUGCAAGCAAUUUGUAUUAUUCCUACACUUCUAUUUUUGUUUAUGUUUGUGACUGUGUUUCAAAAAGAAAAAAACAAUUAUGUUUGUGACUAUCGUAAGUUAUCAGCUGCUUUAAAACUCACACAAAGAAAACAGAUACAAAGAAAAUUGGAGACAGUGGUUUAAUCUAAAUUCGCUGGUCAACUUUCAUACAUCUCUCAUAAGACAAUGACAAAGUUGCAAAUUUUUGACCAUUAUAGAAUCCAAAAUCGCAAAGUAAAAUCAUAUUGAUAACAUAAGCCAAACAUAUAUAAAAGUGAAAAUAAAAUAAAAUUCAUAUACGUUUUAUGGUUACUAAUUUUAUAAACAAUAUAAAAAUUUUAUUUUGUUUUAAAACCAAUUACUUCAACCCUACCAUAUAUGUUAUUAGUAGGUUCAGAAGAGCAACAUUAGUCAAAUUAGACCACUUAGAUCAAAUAUGAAAACACUAGAAAAUACAUAAGACCAACCAUUCAACCAGAUAUAACAAUAUAUAUAUAGGAAAACACAUUCUGUCUUUUAUGCUCUAUUAUUUUACUCUUUAGACAUUUCCCAGUUUAUUAGUUUUAAAUUAUGUAGAACUAUUAAAAAUACAUGUAAAAUAUGAUUGAAUAAAAUUUAUAAAAUCCAAUCCGCACGUAGUGCGGACACAGAACCUAGUUUUAUUAAAAGAGAAACUGGUUUUUGCUCAUUAACAAUAAUAUAGGCAUUGGAAACAAUAGAAAAUAUAUUGGAAACGUUUCACUCAAAUAAAUACUGAAAUUUUGGUUGUUAAAAUCAAUGCUGAUAUUGCCUAGAUUGUAACAAUCAGUUUGAAAAACAAAAGAGAAUAUAUUAUCGAUAUGCUAAUUAUAUUCAUUUACUUGAUUAACACUUUUAUUGAUUUCGAAUUCAUUUUAAAGAAAGUCGAUUGUUAGAAUAUAUUUUCAGAAUAUAUUGUAUUUUAUUGGGAAUAUAUUAUAUAUAAAUUUUGUAAAUAAAUUACUGAAACGAUUCUUUUUUUAUUUAGAAUUUUAAUCCACAUAGUAUUGGUUUCAAAGAUAUAGAAUCUGCUUGGCUAUUUAUGAAAUUUAUUUUAAUGUUGGUUUCGUUUUUUCAGUUUGGUAUGAUUUAUUCUCCAAUAAAUGUUAUCAGAUCAAUGCUUUAUCUUAUUUAGAAAUUCAUUAAAAUUUUAUUUAAUUUCAAAAACAAACCCGCGCUUUUAAGCGUGGGUCAAAAUCUAGUUUGUAUUAUAAUUCUCUACAAAAAAGAGAAUAAGAAGGAAUGAAGUGGAAAAAAUAUUCCUUACGGAUAGUAUCAUUUUUGAGGAACAUUAAGGAAUGCAGUGUUCCUCUUCGUUCCCUUGGUUACCAUUCAAACCCUUAGAUGUUCAUUUGAAUCAACAUUUACAUUCUGUAUCUAAAUGCAAAAAUCUAAAAUAUUUAAAGUAUCUAGAUAUUUAAGAUGUAAAAUGUGGAUAUAAUAUUUGCAUAUAAAAAUCAAAAGACCUAAUUACCUUUCAGUAUAAAUAUAAAAUCAAUUUUUUCUGCCAAAACCGUAAAAUGAGUUUUUUCGUCAAAAUUGAAAUCAUGUUUUUCGUCAAAAAGGUAAAAUUAAGUUUUCCGCCAAAAUUGUAAAAUUGAUUUUUCACACCAAACGGAAAAUUUAGUUUUUUUUGCCAACCCACAAAAUCACAUCUUUUCUCGCCAAAAUCACAAAAUUUCGCUUACCCGCUAAAACUGCAAAAUUAAAAAUUUUGCGUCAAAAUCACAUUUUUUAGCAAUACUGCAAAAUUGAAGUUUUUGCCAAAAUCGUAAAAUUAAAUUUGCCCACUAAAACUUCAAAAUCAUUUUUUUCCCUCCAAAAACCAGAAAAUUGAGUUUUUCUACCAAAAAUGCAAAAUUGGAUUUUCCCGUCAAAACUGCAAAAUAGUUUUUUCACCACAACCGCAAAAGUACGUUUUCUGUCAUAUUAGAAUCGAGUUUUUCCAUAAAACUGUAAAAUUAAGUUUCCUCACCAAAACCUUCGAAUCACGUUUUCAGCAAAUCACAAUAUUGUGUUCUUCCGUCAAAACCGUAAAAACAUUUUUUGCAAAACCACAAAAUUGAUUUUUCCGCCGAAACCUAAAAAAAAAUGCCAUCAAAAAUUCAAAUUAGGUUUUUGUUAAAAUAUGAAAAAAUCAAAUCAUGUCUAUUUAUUAUUUUAAAAUUAAUUUAUUAUUAAUAAUACUAUGUAAGGAACCCGUGCGAUAUCGCAUGGAAACUAAUUUUACAAAAAUAAGUUCACCAUAUUUUAUAAAAUAAUGUUUUUUAGAAAAACAUUAUACAAUUGUAUUCGAAAAAAUACAUGUGUUACAAAUUUAUCUGGCAUGCAACUAUAUUUUUUUAUUGAUAAUACGAUAAUUUUUUUAUAUAUGUUUGGUUAUAAUAAAAUUAUAAAUAUGUCAGUAUCAAAUAAGAUAUAUGUCUAAUUAUCCGCUUAACUAAGUUAUUUAAAAAUUUCAAAAAUUUAAAACUACUUAAAAAGCAAAGACAUUCCAUGUGGUCAUUUACUAAAUUAAUAAGGUAAAUUAUAACAACAAGACAAAUAUGAUUGGUUUGAAACCAUGUAAGACAUGUGUUAUCGGAAACAUGAUUAUAUUAGGCCUGGGCAUUCGGGGUCCCAAUCGGGUUUCGGUUUUAUCCAAUCGUGUUUCGGUUUUUCGGGUUCAUCAGAAUCAGGCCCAUUCGGAUUAUAUGAAAGUUCGGUUCGGGACCGGUUCGGGUUCUAUCGGGUUCGGAUCGGGGUUAGUGAAUCUUCAAAGAACCGGUACAACCCAAUAUACUUUCGGGUUCGGGUCCCAAUCGGUUUUUCGGUUUAAAAGUACCUGAUUUUUACCUAUUUUAUAACCAAAACAUGAGUAAAAUCGGUUCUUCAGUUUUAAAAUAUCUGUUUUGUACCUAUUUUGUAUGAUAAAUUUAAGAUAUCUUAUCUUUAAACAUAUUCUUUUUUAGCAUAUAACUCACACAUUCUUUUUAAAAUAUUAUUAUUGGUAUCUUCUGUAAAAGAGAGUCUUUCCAAAAAAAAAUGACCUUGUUAGAAAGUUAAAAUAUGUGUUUUCGUUUUAAAAGGUAACAUCACAAAAGAUUAUGCUAACGAACCAACGCUAUUCUAUAUGAUAGACUUUUUGUAUUUUCUAUGAAAAAAUUGUGAUCUUCAAGAAACUUAAUUGGUUUUAUUGAAUUAGUAUUGAUUAAAAAUUAUUGAAAAUUGAAAAUUACAGAAAAUGAUAUAUUUAUUAUGGUGAUUUAAUGUGUUUUUUUAAAUAUGUGUAAAAACACUAAAAAGUUUAUCUUUGUGAAACAGAGGGAUUAAAUGUUUUGUCUCGAAGUAAACAGUAACUAUAACAACGUUUGGAUGCAACAUCCAUAUAUUAUUAAUACAACUUAGUACUUCCUCCGUUUUACAAAGAUAGAUUUUUUGGUGUUUUCACACAUAUUAAGAAAACACAUUAAAUUACUAUAAUAAAUGUAUCAUUUUCUGUAGUUUUUAAUUUUCAAUAAUUUUUAACCAAUAGUAAUUCAUUAAAGUCAAUUAAUUUUCUUGAAGAUUAUAAUUUUUUUCAUAGAAAAUACAAAAAGUCUAUCUUUGUGAAAUAAUUUUUUUUUUCUAAAAUACUUAACUUAAUGAAACGGAGAGAGUAUUCAACUUAACAUCUGAAUAUAAUAUCUGAAUAUUGCAUUAAAUACAAAAAGAACAUGGUCUUAGUGAAUUUAAUGAAUUUAAUGCAUCUGCAAUGGAUAUUGUAGCAAAUGAUUUCAACAUUAAAAUUUCAACUAUUUCCGUGUAAGAUAUCUAUAAGCAUUUUGUAAUUUCCUUUCAAAACAAAUGUCUUUACAAACUUGUUGUAAUGCAAUAAGCAGAACAUUGGCUUAUGCUUCAAGAGGUGAAGUUGUUGCUCCAGGUUGAAUCCGGUCGUUUGUUCUUCUACGUCGUCAAGAGUCCAAUACCGUUUCAGCAACAUUUCUAACAAAUUAAAAAGGAAAAAGUCAACAAAUUGGGUUUUGUAAAUAUUGAGAUUACUAGUAUAAAAAUUCAAUUAGUUUGGUGAUGACACGAAAACGCGUACGGUUACAUAUCACAUCUUAUUCAACGUGAUUGAACAUAAGUUGAAUAACAACAGUUUUAUUGGCUUAAUUAACAUAACAGUUAACUCUAGUCGACCAAAGAUGUCAUCUUUUCACAGCAUUCUUGUGUACUGAAUUGUACGGAACUAACCUUUUUUUUAAGGGAACUAACUUAAUUAGUAGUAUUAAUUUAUAUCAAGUUAUUCAAUAAAAAAAUUAUUCAAAGUACAUUUUAUUUUUAUAAUCAAGUGAUUGGUGGAUUCACUUUUUGUCAAUUUUUAUCUGGUACGCAACCAACACUGCGGACCUAUUUACCAGAUAACUGUAUUUAUUUAUUAUACAAGAUGCAGAUGUGUAUUUUCUGCGGAUUAUUUCUAAAAAAUAACAUAGAUCUUUUAUAUCUGAUGUGCUAUGUUUUUAUUGAUUUUACUUUUAACAGUACAUGGCAUAUGGUUUCAUUUUUUGUUCUUUUCAAGAUUUAAAUAAGGACCAGUUAAUAGAGAGAUAAAACAGAAAUGGUUAAUCAUCUUUUUCUUAAUUCUUACAGCAUUGAACUGGUCAACAAUUUGUAUAUAUAGUGUUCGCAUGCUUAACGAAACAUAGGCUCAGGUGACUGCGGUUUGAGCGGUACGGGACAAGCAGUUCAACUGCGGUGCGGUUUUAACAGUUAUAAAAACGUAUAGAUAUAUAGUAAAUGUAGAGAUUUUUGUUACUGUUAACUAUGGUGCGGGGCGGGACGGUUGUAAACAUUCGAAGCCAUAAUAUAUUUAUACACAUAGAAAUAAAUUUAAAUACUCCGUGUGUUUCAAAUUGAUAAAUGUUUUAGUUUUAUACACAGAUUAUAAAACAUACUCUUUUUGUUUCUAAAUAAUGCAUGUUUAGAUUUUUCACAGAUAUUAAAAAAUUAAUAUUUAACUAUUCAUACAUUAAUUUAAAAAAUUACAACAAUUUCCCAUAAAUUUAAACCAAUAGAAACUCAAUAAAUCCAAAAUUAUCAAUUAAUAUUUUUUGAAGUUUACAAUUCAUUAUUAAAAAUACAUAGAAAAUCUAAAACAUUGAUUUUUUAGAAACAAGUAAAAAGUGUUACAACAUGCAUUAUUUAGAAACAGAUGGAGUAUUAAAUUUCAGUAUUAAAUACAUAUUUUUGUGAUUCUCUAUUUUCCAUAAUUUAAACCAAUUAGAAUUUAGUAAAUGCGAUUAGUUUUAUUAAAUUUCACAAUUAGCCAUUAUUAGAUAAAAUGCAUUGAGAAUAUAAAAAUAUAUCACUUUGAAAUAUUUUUUUUUCUAAAAACAUGUAUCUUUAUCUAUGUUCAAAAUUAGCCCGAGUUGCCGAGUUUACGGUCUUAUAAUCGCUAAUCGGAAGGUGAUUGUGCCGACUAAGGGAUGAUCGGAGUGGCUAAGCGGCAGACCAAUUCUUUGCCGAGUUAACCGUAGAACUAUAGAAAUCAGUGCCUAAAAUCUCCAAUCGCAUUUGUUCGAUAUGAUAGUUCUGUAAAGUUUUGGUGUAGAUAAUUUAUUUGCAGAGCAACGUGGAUGAUUCUUGUUAUAAACGUCUAGAAAAAGCUAAAAAAACCGAAGACAAUCAUGUGUUAUGGAAAGUACGGCGAUUAGGUUGCAGAGAAAGCUACAUACAGUACAACAUGUAUAAAUUAAUAAUGUUCGGAUUUUAAAAUUUUAUUAAUUUAUAGAGAUUAAUUUAUAAAUUUUUUUCUUAUUUAGAUUUUUUAUUUUAAGAUAUAUUUAUUCUAAGAUAAAAAAAUAUUUGAUUUUAGUCUAUAGAAAUUAAUUGUUAUUUUUUGAAAUUUGACACUUAUAUUACUUUUAUUAUAUUAUUUGGUAUAUAUAAUAUAUAUUACAUAGAACUUAAAUGUGAUUUUAGAUAUAAUAUUACUAAAUCUCAUAAAAAAAUAUAUUAAGUGUUAAAAAAAUAUAAAGAUAAUUCUAUUGUGAAUAUAAAACAAAUAAUAUAAUAAUAGGUUCUUACAUAUAUAAAAUAUGUAUAAAUAAAAAUUAUUAAUUUAUAAUUUUAAUGGGACCAUAUAUUUACAUAAAAUUUUUAAAAAAAUAUUAUCUUAUUAUUUUCUCGAUUUAUGUCAAAUUUUGAACCGGUUUAAAUUGGAACAGGUGAAAUUUACUAAUUUAUAGAGAUUAUUAAUUUACCGAGUAUUAAUUUAUAAAGGUUUUACUUUAUUUGCGUGAAACGAUGAAGCUAGAGUAGUAAUUUCUUGUUUAACUGAUAAAAUCAAAUAAAAUGCAAAAAUAGCAUAUACUGUACCACACAUCGAACCAGGAUCGUGACCAGAUGAUUAAUACUAUCUAACCGUUGGACCAAGUUAAUAUAUUGAAUUCAAUACCGAAGCUAUCAAGAUAUAUUAUAUAAACGAUAUAAAAACUCUAAAACUAGGCUUCGAUUAAUUCCGCAUAAUCUUCGAUUUUCAUUAAGCCCGAGAUUACCGCAUGACUAGUGUCUAGCGUAGUUCCGAACAGGGAUCUUUAUGAAACGGAAAACGUAGAUUUGUUCAUCACAGUAGACGUAAACGUACAAUACAUAUAAUUCAUUAGUGCAAGUGGAACCCUACGAUGUCACGAAUAUAAUCGUAAGUAGCUUGUGGAAAUCAACUUUGUUUUUUUAAAUAUGGCAAUCAUAUACGUAGUACCAUAUUUAUUAAAUAUUUGCUUAUCAUAACUAAAUAUUAUCAUCAGUCAUCACAUAAGUAUAUAUUAUUGUUAAUGUAUACGAUAUUUAGUUUUUAUCAAUCUUCUGAAACCUGGUAAACCUGGUCUAUGCAGCGCCAAGAUAUCUGUCUAAAUGGCAAAUCGAUUAUACCCAAAACAGUUUUCUUAAAAUAUGAUUUAUUUUUGUAUAUCGGAUUAUAAUUUUUUUAAACCGAUUAAAAUAUGUCUUAAUCUAUCUAAAUAUAUUUAAAUCUACCAUUUCAAAUAAUAGUAAUAGCGUAAAUCCAAAAUAUUUUAUACUUUCUUGUUUUGUUUGUCUAAUUUUAUAAUUUAUCGAAAAUAAUUUAUAAUUACACCCAAAAUAUCUAAUAUAAAUAUAACAUAUAUACAAUGAAGCCUCUAUAAAUUAAUAAUGUUUUGACUACACCAAAACUAUAAUUUUUUUAUUAAUUUAUAGAGAUAUUAAUUUAUCGAUAUACUAACUAAACCAAAAACUCAAUUUGGGACUAUAAAAUUAUAUUAUUUUAUAGAGAUUUUUAGUGUAUAUUAAUUUAUAGAGUAUUAAUUUAAAGAGGUUAUACUGUAUAUAUAUAAAUAAAUCGAUAAUCCAUUAAACUCCCAAAUAAUAUGCUUAGUCAUUGAUACUAUAUAAAACCCUUAGUUACGACUUAAUGAUUUCUUAAACAUGGGGUUGUCACACAAACAACAUUCAUAGAUCAAAAUUGAUAAAUUUCUUUGAGUCAAUUAGGUAGAUACCUGAAAACAAUUGGGAAUUUAGCAAACUACCAAAACAAAAAAACAUUGAGGUGUACAGUAUACCUAUAGGAGUUUAAAUGACAUUUCUAACCUUCAGUUUUAUUUGUCUUUUUAACAUUUCUCUCUCUCUGCUCCACCAGCAAACCAUUACUCCUCUCUCUCUUCCGUGACUACGUCUUCCAUUGCUGCAACUCCUCAUUCCUUUAUUCAAUCCUUUUCUUUCGCUCAAAGUUCCAGCCUUCAUUUGAAACCCAACACAAAGUUCCUCGAUUUCGACAGGAGUCACCGUGAAGCAGUACGUGACAAGACUCGUUCUUGUUUAUCGGAAGGACGGAAACGCACCGGAAGACGGAAAUGCGCCGGAGGACGGAGACGCGUCGGAGAGGGAAGAGAGUUGUGCGAGGAGCUCUGGGUGGCGGGAGUCGAAGCCAUGGCGGAGCUGGGCGACGAGGAUCGGUGGAUAGCUUGGCGGUGGAGGCGGGGGAUCCGGAGGCGAGUGCGGCGGAGGAGAAGAUAGGAGACAGAGGAGCGGAGGGAGAAGACAGAGAUCUCCGUGUCAGAGAGGGAAGAGAGCUGGGAGAGGAGAUCGGGGUGGCGGGAGACGGCGUCGUGGCGGAGCUGGGCGUCGUGGAGGCGGAUCCCUUGGUGGAGACUCUCGGCGGUGGAGGCGGGAAUCCGGAGGCGAGUGCAGCGGAGGAGAAGAAGGCGGAGGAGAAGGAAGGGAGAGGAAUGGAGAGACGGUGGGUUCGUUUGCGAAAAUCCAGAGGUGAUUGAAGAAGAUGAUGGUUUUAGAAAUAGGGGUAUUAGAGUCAUUAAUUUUUAAGAAAAGUAUGUAACAGUGUUCAAUGGUAGAUUGCUAAUUUCGCAAUAUUGUUUGUGUAUACAAUGCAAAUUCUCUUUUUUUUUUUUUUUAAUACAAGUGUAAGAUUUAUUUUCAUGUGGUAUGCACUGUUAUAAAUCUGAACCUAUUCCGAUAUUUUUGAAUCGUUGAUAUCAUAUCAAGUUAUUUAUCUGACAAUAACACGCGUCAGUGGUCGGGUGGCGCAAGGCGUUCCGUGAAUCUCUAAAAUACUCGAAUUCGAACCCGCUACUAAUCUAGAAAAGCACGGCGCGUUGCCAUCAGAACUUUCACAUUCUCUCUCUAGACAAAAGGUCACCUAUUUUUUUUUUUAAUCUGACAAAAAUGAUAUAGAUAUUUAUACUAUUAAAAAUAUCUUUAAUAUAACUUAAAUAUUGAAAAAUGGAUUCGGAUUUUUAUAAGAGGUUAAACCACAUAACAAAAAUCUUAUACUUAACUCUAAAUAUCGAAGAACAUAUAUUAAUGUCGAUAUAUUGUGUGUGACAACUGAGGACAACUCCAUAUAUAUUAAGGGUCUAAUUUAUAUAUGAACAUGGACUAUCCAUGAUGGACACAUAGGUGCUCUGUAUGCUUUUUUUUUUUUUCCACACGUAUGCUUAUCUCACACGUUAAAAGAAAAAUUCAAAGAAAUCGGUUGUAUUUGUAUUCUUGUGAGAUCAUCAAUGGUGAACCAAAAUAAAGUGAGAUCAUCAAUAUCAUUUUAUUAUAUCAUAUGUUGUCCUGGUUUCACAUACCAUGUCGACAUACAAAAUAGUAAUUCAUAGUGUGGAUCUAAUCAAAUCACCAAGUAGUAAUAUAUAGUGUAUAUCGACGGAUCAACCGAAUUUAUACAAAAACCUCCCAGAUUUAUACGACUGGUCAAAACUGAUGACAACCAUUAUUUUACUAUUAAAGUUUUGGUUUAUCGCUAGUGUGAAUAAAUUGAUAAUGCUUUGACGUAGCAUGCAAAAUCAUUUAUUUUACUUGCUGAUAUGUAUGGACUUUUAAUAACGUCAAUCAAUAUAAACUAAUUGGAACCCCAUUAUGGUGGACUAGUAGUUUCUAUUAGGGGAGAAGUUGUGAUGUUGGUCUAGGCCAGGGAUCGAUUCUCUUUUAGUACAAAAUUAUUAAUUUCACAUGUGGUCACACAGAUAUGGGCCUAUGUUUAUGGUCCAUUUGAAUACCGAAAGAUGAUCUAUCCGUAGAUUGCAUCUCCCAUCCGAAAAUUAAGUCUGUGUCUUUAAUAUACUCGAAUUUAAUCCUUUUAACUUACAAAAAAAAUAAACUAAUUGGCCAGGAGAAAUAGGAACGCUUUCUGCAUGUGUCGUACUCUUAUCGUAUCUAAUAAACUACUUAUUUCACAUUCUAAAAAUAGUGCUCUCUCUGAUUUAAAUUAUACAUAAUAAAAUCACUUUUUAAAUACCAUAUAGAGUAUUAGUAUUUUAAACCAUUUUAUCUGUUUUAACUAUAUAAGCAGUAUUAAAACUGCAAAAUCUUCUUGAUCGAUAUUAUAUCAUUUUAUUUGUUUGAUCUGUAUUUAUUCUAUUUAGGUCGUUUAUUUCGCUUACUGCCUUGUCCAUUUUUUUUUUGAAGCACAAGAAAGGGUAAACUAUGCACAAGAUUAUUUUACUCCCACUAGUUUAUGUUGUCUUCCAAUAUUUAUUUUUUUUUUGGUAAAAAAAAAGGUGUUUUCACCUCUUUGCCGGAAACCCAAGCAAUGUAAAUAGUCUCUCCCAGCGCGAAUCGAACCCGGGUGGCAGAAAUUACAGCCGCAACCCCUUUACCACCAAAGCUGACUCGUUCCAAUAUUUAUUUUCUUAAAUGACAACAAAAAUAACACAUAAAUGCUUUCUUUGGAUAUUUAUUCUUACAAGUAAAAUAAAAUACUUUUUUGACAAAAGUAAAAUAAAAUACUUUUGGGCUAUAUAAAUCGUUUUGGUUGAUUUUGUUGUCUCUAAAUGUUUUUUAGCUUAUUGUCUCUAAAUGUUAAGUGAUUUAAAUUAUAUGUAGAUAUUGCGCUGAAACGCACCUAGUAUUGUGUGUAUAUAUAUAUAUUGUAUUUUUCGAUAUGUAUAAUACAUAUCCUCCCGUCAAGUGGUGCAAUAAGGGAUGAAAAUUUCUUCCCAGUUGCACGAACAAGCUGAUUAAAAUAUUCCUUUUUGUUAGUGGUUUUUUUCGCAAUAUGCUUUGUAUUUAUUAUAUUGUUGACUUUUGAGUUGUUUGCCUUUUCUUAUUGCCUUUUAUGGGACUCCAUUCACCCGUCCCAACUUCCAUUCUUCCUCGUCUAGAAAAGAAAGGCUAUUAGCAUUUAUCAAUUUCAUCAAGGGCAGACAAAACUUAAGAGCUUACUACAAAAUUCUCCACAGAUAAACUGAAUUUAUUAACGAAAUUGAAGCUAAUAAUUGUAAGUUUGAAAUUAUUAAAAUAACCAAACCGCUUUUGAGAAAUAACAUAUUUUUGUCUAUUACAUAGCAUUCUUUUGCGUAUACGUUCAGAGUUAAAUAUGUAAAUAUAGAGGAAAACAAAAAAAUCAUAAUUACAAAUUUACGUUUGAAAAAAGAACAAGUAAAAGAAGAAGAAGAUAUUAUUGGAGAAUCUUUCUUUAGUCUUAGUUGUAAGAUUUUUGUGCUACUGGCUUAAAGGUAACCCUAUUCUAUGAUAGAGGCGUGGCUUAUUGGACCAAAGUCACCAAACUAUAUAUUACCACAAAUCUUAACAUAAAGCGAUAAUACCCUCUCAAAUUCCUUUUAUUUUAAAAAUAUUUUAUUAAAUGAGGCUUUCUACAUAUAGAACAUACUUGGAGUAUAUAUUUAGUUAUAUCCAGUGUUUGUUACGUGAAUGCAAGGCAAGCUAGACUUACGUACGUACCACAUUAAACACACGCAUAAUUUACAAGUAUGAAACUAGUGACACAGCCUUUAUAUAUAAAUAAGGGGCUAGUGUACGUCAUACAUCUGCAUGUACAAAUGCCGCUUUCAAAAUCUAAUUAAGUAAAAGAACGAUAUUUAAAUUCUCUAUAAGUCAUAUAUAGCUUCAGUUCAGAAGACAUAUUGCCAAUAUAUAUAUAUAUAUAGAUAUAUAAAUAUUGUCAAUAUCUGAUGAUAAAAUAGCAGAAAUAUAGAAUACUCUUAGUUUUGGUGUAUGAUCCAAAAUUGAGAUAUUUUGUCGGAGAUGGAUAUUUGACAAGUUAAAGCAAAUGUAUCAAAUUCUAAGUUUAGGUACGAAUUGACUUUUUCAAAAGUCUACUAAAUAAAUUUUAAAAGUUAAAUGAUUACAGACGGGUUUACAUAGAAAACCAAAAAAAAAAAAGAACCCUAAACCACAAACAAUCCUUUUUCAUUCUUUAUAUAAACUGAUGUUCCCCAAAAGGCUUUUCCUCGCCAUAUACCUGUGAAAGAAAAAAAAAAGAGAUAAAAGGGAAACAAUAUUCGAGAGAGAGAUAUGGGUGAGGUGACUUAUAUGGACGAAGGAGAUUUAGAAGCAAUAGUCAGAGGUUACUUAGGCUCCGGAGACGCCUUUUCUGGGGAAAGCUCCGGUGGGUUUUCACCUCCGUUUUGCCUUCCGAUUGAGACGGCUAGUUUCUAUGAACCGGAGAUGGAAACAACCGGUUUAGACGAACUUGGUGAACUCUACAAACCUUUUUACCCUUUCGCCUCACAAACAAUCCUCACAAGCUCCGUCUCUGUCCCCGGAGAUUCAAGAAGUUUCCGAGAUGAUAAAAAACAACGAACACAUGGUUGUCUUCAAUCUAACGGAUCAAGAGUUGAUCAUAUCCGAAUCCCAGUAUCCAAAUCGAAGAAGAGGUCAGUUAUACUUGAAAAUCUACUUUCAAAUGCAUAAAAAAAAAAAACUUGAAUAUUAAUAAAUGUUUUGAACAAAAAAAAAGAAUAUUCAUAUAAAAAAAAACUGAUUUUCAGCUGUCUGGGUUACUAUUAUGAACCAAUUCUUGAAAAUAAUUUUAUUAGAAUUUUAUACAUAUUAAGAAAGCAGUUUAUGUUUGAUCAUAAAUGUAUAAACUUUCUGAACUAAACAAUUUCCUACGACUUUCAAGCAAUAGAAAUUUAAAAAUAUAAUUAUUGUCAAUAAAUAUUUCGAUAUAUAAAAUUUGUUAUGCAAAUUAAUAAUAUAUGCAUAGAAAACUGAGAAUGUAUAAGAAAAAAACAUAAAAUGCUAGAAAAUUCAUCUUUACAAAUGUAGGGUAUAUACUAUAUAUAGUUAUUAUUAUCACCAACUUGUUUUUCAUAAUUAUAAUUAUCAUGAAUAUGCAUGCUCCUUGUUGGAUUAAAUAAUUUAUGAUUCGAAUUUGAACAGCAAGAAGAAUCAACUAAAGAGAGUUGUUGAGCAAGUGAAGGAAGAAAAUCUGUUGUCGGAUGCAUGGGCAUGGCGUAAAUACGGGCAGAAACCCAUCAAAGGAUCUCCAUACCCAAGGUCUUAAACCAUUUCCGGUUUAACAUAAUCCUAUCCUUACUUUUAACCAAAAAACCGGUUUGACCUACUUAACCUCUUUUGUUUCUUCAGGAGUUAUUACAGGUGCAGCAGCUCAAAGGGGUGUUUGGCAAGAAAACAAGUCGAAAGAAAUCCUCAGAACCCGGAAAAGUUCACCAUAACGUAUACAAAUGAACACAACCAUGAGUUACCAACCCGGAGAAACUCAUUAGCCGGUUCGACUCGAGCCAAAUCUUCUCAAACCAAACCGGCCGUAACCAAAAAGUCCGUAAAGCAAGUGGUUUCUUCUCCCACAAGUAACCCCAUGAUCACAUCCACUGAUGAAUCUUCUGUUGCGGUUCAAGAUAUGAGGGUUGCAGAAACGAGUACCUACCAAAUAACCGUAGAAACCAAGGGCACGAGUAACACUUUACCAUCGGAUUUGUUGUCUGGGACGGGAACUUUUCCGACUUGUACCUGUGACUUUGAUGAACUACUGAAUAGCCAUGAGUUCCUCAAUGGGUACUUAUGGAAUUACUAAAGAACAGUAGGUGUAUGUAUAUUCAAACUUAUAUUAUAGUUGCAUUGCGGGCAUUGAGAAAAAUGUAUAUCUAGGAGAUUUGAGUGUCGUAGUUUUCGUCUUGUUUCCAGCUUGACCUGAAAAUGUAACCAAAUAUAGUUCAUUUAAAUUGUCAUACUAAUGCUAAGACAAAACCCCAUUUUACAUUCGAUUACAUAUAUAUAUUUCAACGUUUUCCACUGCACUAAGAAAAGACUACGCCUAAAAUUGUUAGACACUGUGUGAAAAUGGAACCGUCUUCAGGCCGGUCUAGAUGAUUAAUUAGGCAUCCUAAAAUAUACUGUAUAUUUUACAUUAUAGAGACACCAAUAUACAACUCACCCGCCCACCCAGCCGCAUUUAGUAUUUUAAUGAAUGUGAAAAUUAAUUUUAACUUUUAAAUCAAAUUAUUGACAAAUAAUUAAUAUUCAAAUAAAUGGCCAGACAGUUGCACAAAUCAACACCAUGUUUCCAUCCAAUGUCCAAACUGAACGUAUUUUUAGGCUCUAACGAUUGAUAUGGAUACAUAUGUUUUGUAAGGCAAACAAAGAGGUAACAAAAUUUGAAUUGGAGAAAUUAAAAGAAUCUUUACUCGAAAGUCUACUGUCAUUAGCUUUUAUUUACAGAUGGGAUAAGAAACGAGCCAGUCUUAGAUUUCAAAACUUAAGAGCUUACUACAAAAUUCUCCACAGAUAAACUGAAUUUAUUAACGAAAUUGAAGCUAAUAAUUGUAAGUUUGAAAUUAUUAAAAUAACCAAACCGCUUUUGAGAAAUAACAUAUUUUUGUCUAUUACAUAGCAUUCUUUUGCGUAUACGUUCAGAGUUAAAUAUGUAAAUAUAGAGGAAAACAAAAAAAUCAUAAUUACAAAUUUACGUUUGAAAAAAGAACAAGUAAAAGAAGAAGAAGAUAUUAUUGGAGAAUCUUUCUUUAGUCUUAGUUGUAAGAUUUUUGUGCUACUGGCUUAAAGGUAACCCUAUUCUAUGAUAGAGGCGUGGCUUAUUGGACCAAAGUCACCAAACUAUAUAUUACCACAAAUCUUAACAUAAAGCGAUAAUACCCUCUCAAAUUCCUUUUAUUUUAAAAAUAUUUUAUUAAAUGAGGCUUUCUACAUAUAGAACAUACUUGGAGUAUAUAUUUAGUUAUAUCCAGUGUUUGUUACGUGAAUGCAAGGCAAGCUAGACUUACGUACGUACCACAUUAAACACACGCAUAAUUUACAAGUAUGAAACUAGUGACACAGCCUUUAUAUAUAAAUAAGGGGCUAGUGUACGUCAUACAUCUGCAUGUACAAAUGCCGCUUUCAAAAUCUAAUUAAGUAAAAGAACGAUAUUUAAAUUCUCUAUAAGUCAUAUAUAGCUUCAGUUCAGAAGACAUAUUGCCAAUAUAUAUAUAUAUAUAGAUAUAUAAAUAUUGUCAAUAUCUGAUGAUAAAAUAGCAGAAAUAUAGAAUACUCUUAGUUUUGGUGUAUGAUCCAAAAUUGAGAUAUUUUGUCGGAGAUGGAUAUUUGACAAGUUAAAGCAAAUGUAUCAAAUUCUAAGUUUAGGUACGAAUUGACUUUUUCAAAAGUCUACUAAAUAAAUUUUAAAAGUUAAAUGAUUACAGACGGGUUUACAUAGAAAACCAAAAAAAAAAAAGAACCCUAAACCACAAACAAUCCUUUUUCAUUCUUUAUAUAAACUGAUGUUCCCCAAAAGGCUUUUCCUCGCCAUAUACCUGUGAAAGAAAAAAAAAAGAGAUAAAAGGGAAACAAUAUUCGAGAGAGAGAUAUGGGUGAGGUGACUUAUAUGGACGAAGGAGAUUUAGAAGCAAUAGUCAGAGGUUACUUAGGCUCCGGAGACGCCUUUUCUGGGGAAAGCUCCGGUGGGUUUUCACCUCCGUUUUGCCUUCCGAUUGAGACGGCUAGUUUCUAUGAACCGGAGAUGGAAACAACCGGUUUAGACGAACUUGGUGAACUCUACAAACCUUUUUACCCUUUCGCCUCACAAACAAUCCUCACAAGCUCCGUCUCUGUCCCCGGAGAUUCAAGAAGUUUCCGAGAUGAUAAAAAACAACGAACACAUGGUUGUCUUCAAUCUAACGGAUCAAGAGUUGAUCAUAUCCGAAUCCCAGUAUCCAAAUCGAAGAAGAGGUCAGUUAUACUUGAAAAUCUACUUUCAAAUGCAUAAAAAAAAAAAACUUGAAUAUUAAUAAAUGUUUUGAACAAAAAAAAAGAAUAUUCAUAUAAAAAAAAACUGAUUUUCAGCUGUCUGGGUUACUAUUAUGAACCAAUUCUUGAAAAUAAUUUUAUUAGAAUUUUAUACAUAUUAAGAAAGCAGUUUAUGUUUGAUCAUAAAUGUAUAAACUUUCUGAACUAAACAAUUUCCUACGACUUUCAAGCAAUAGAAAUUUAAAAAUAUAAUUAUUGUCAAUAAAUAUUUCGAUAUAUAAAAUUUGUUAUGCAAAUUAAUAAUAUAUGCAUAGAAAACUGAGAAUGUAUAAGAAAAAAACAUAAAAUGCUAGAAAAUUCAUCUUUACAAAUGUAGGGUAUAUACUAUAUAUAGUUAUUAUUAUCACCAACUUGUUUUUCAUAAUUAUAAUUAUCAUGAAUAUGCAUGCUCCUUGUUGGAUUAAAUAAUUUAUGAUUCGAAUUUGAACAGCAAGAAGAAUCAACUAAAGAGAGUUGUUGAGCAAGUGAAGGAAGAAAAUCUGUUGUCGGAUGCAUGGGCAUGGCGUAAAUACGGGCAGAAACCCAUCAAAGGAUCUCCAUACCCAAGGUCUUAAAUCAUUUCCGGUUAACAUAAUCCUAUCCUUACUUUUAACCAAAAACCGGUUUGACUUACUUAACCUCUUUUGUUUCUUCAGGAGUUAUUACAGGUGCAGCAGCUCAAAGGGGUGUUUGGCAAGAAAACAAGUCGAAAGAAAUCCUCAGAACCCGGAAAAGUUCACCAUAACGUAUACAAAUGAACACAACCAUGAGUUACCAACCCGGAGAAACUCAUUAGCCGGUUCGACUCGAGCCAAAUCUUCUCAAACCAAACCGGCCGUAACCAAAAAGUCCGUAAAGCAAGUGGUUUCUUCUCCCACAAGUAACCCCAUGAUCACAUCCACUGAUGUAUCUUCUGUUGCGGUUCAAGAUAUGCGAGUUGCAGAAACGAGUACCUACCAAAUAACCGUAGAAACCAAGGGCACGAGUAACACUUUACCAUCGGAUUUGUUGUCUGGGACGGGAACUUUUCCGACUUGUACCGGUGACUUUGAUGAACUACUGAGUAGCCAUGAGUUCCUCAAUGGGUACUUAUGGAAUUACUAAAGAACAGUAGGUGUAUGUAUAUUCAAACUUAUAUUAUAGUUGCAUUGCGGGCAUUGAGAAAAAUGUAUAUCUAGGAGAUUUGAGUGUCGUAGUUUUCGUCUUGUUUCCAGCUUGACCUGAAAAUGUAACCAAAUAUAGUUCAUUUAAAUUGUCAUACUAAUGCUAAGACAAAACCCCAUUUUACAUUCGAUUACAUAUAUAUAUUUCAACGUUUUCCACUGCACUAAGAAAAGACUACGCCUAAAAUUUUUAGACACUGUGUGAAAAUGGAACCGUCUUCAGGCCGGUCUAGAUGAUUAAUUAGGCAUCCUAAAAUAUCUAUUUUACAUUAUAGAGACACCAAUAUACAACUCACCCGCCCACCCAGCCGCAUUUAGUAUUUUAAUGAAUGUGAAAACUAAUUUUAACUUUUAAAUCAAAUUAUUGACAAAGAAUUACUAAUAUUCAAAUAAAUGGUCAGACAGUUGCACAAAUCAGCACUUGUUUCCAUCCAGUGUCCAAACUGAACGUGUUUUUAGGCUCUAACGAUUGAUAUGGAUACAUAUGUUUUGUAAGGCAAACAAAGAGGUAACAAAAUUUGGAUUCGAGAAAUUAAGAGAAUCUUUCAUGCCUUGAAACUCAAAAGUCUACUGUCAUUAGCUUUUAUUUACAGAUGGGAUAAGAAACGAGCCAGUCUUAGAUUUCUUGUAUCAUAGUAACUUGGGGAUCAUGCAUUAAACUUCCGUCAACAGAUAAUAUAUUAUUCGCAAUCUAUUCCGAAUUUAUCAAAUAGUUGCAAGUCCCAACUUCUCUGUCUAGCUAACAAUAGAUGACUCGUCUAAGCCACAAACACUUAACCUUAAAAAGAAAUUGAACUGUUGGGAAAAGGAAGAGGCCGCGCAAAUACCCUUGCUGCCACAAAUAAUGACGCAGGAUCUUCCACUUGGGAAGACCUUAAGCUAAGGGCAUCUUUAUUGGUGGGAUGAAGAGAGAGAGGGAGAGAGUCCCUUGUUUUGCUUUUUUUUUUUUUUGGUCAUUAGAGAGUAAGGGACAGCCCUUAAUUAAGGGCUUUUCCCUUCUCUUUCUUCCUCGGUUCCCAUCCCCUUCCCCUAAGGGAUGCCUUAAGGGACCUCCAAUACAGAUGCCCUAAGCACCCUUCCUUAUUGUGCAAUGGAAGUCACUGCACAGAGACGGACCCACAUGUAUUAAUGUAUUAAUGGUGGGUCAGCUGACACACCUUAAAUGAUAAAAUCCUAAUUUGUUAAAGAGAAACUGUAUAGAUUCAAUAGAUUUGUUGGCAAAAUCUCUCAGGGUGACUCCCCUAAUUCCGGAUUCGACACCCACCUCACACUCUCUUUACCAUUUUUGUAUUAGUGAUUUAAAGCCCAUUAAAUUUUUUGACCCAUGUUAAAAAAUCCUGGGUCCGCCACUGUACUAGCAUUUUCAAUGUUCGACCAUCUUCUCCUAAUAUGCUUGCAAUGUCAAUGUGGGACUGAAUGCUUAUGAUUUAUAUGGUUAUCUAUAAGGCAGCCUCGUAUUGUUAAGAAAUCUAGAAGGAGAUAAAAGGUUUUCUUGUGUAUUAAGAUGUGAAAGUUAAGCCUUAUAUACAGACUCGGUAACAUAUACGUUUGACCUAGUUACAAAACAUUUUUACCUAAUUUCAGGAUUCAAUAUCAAACUUACAAUUUAUGGGCCUAUCGCCCAAUACCCCUCCUCAAGAUGGAGUGUGCAUAUUACAAACACCCAUCUUGAAAAGAAAAAAUACAAAUUCUCUGCAUCCAAGCGCAUUGGCGAUUAUAUCUGCAAGCUGAAAAAGCACGCAUUGAGCCUAAAUUCUAAUGCGUAACUAUUUUUCUAUUUAUCAUGUAUGGCCUAUUUUGUGUUUGGUUUUACUUUGAUUUCUCUUUAUGAAUUAUUUAACGAUGAAACUUUUAGUUUAGCAACCGAUAAAACAAGCAGAUUGUCAUAUGAUGCUGCAAGUGCAAUGCGUGAUCCAUAAUAUUUUAUUUUAUUUUGGUUUAAGGAUAUUGCAACUUUAUAUAUUCUACAUCUUUAAGUGAUAUUUCAAUGAUUUUUCAUAUUUUACGGUGUUACAUUACGUGAUCUGAUUUACAUAGUUAAAGGUGAAGACGUUAUAUUACAGAAAAGAAUCUGUAUGAUCUACAAAAGAAAUUCAGUAUGGCGAUAGGUUAUUCCAACUUAUCCUCAAGAUUUUCAGUGUAUAGACGAGAGCUAAAAACACGACCAAACAGAAAAAGAUUCCGUUGUUUCUUGUAACUCACGUCUCAAAUCAUUAGGACUGUUCUUAAGUCUUGCGUUUAUAUGUGUUGAUGGUGACGCACGGCAUCAUAAGAAAAAUGUAAAGGGUAGAGGCCGUCACCGAUGGUAAGAACUACGGAUAGAAAGAAAACCGAAAAUAAGUUUGGUACAAUAUUAUAUAAUAUCACCUUGUAUAAUUGAAAAUCCAAAUAGCACGUGAUUUUUCUGUGAUAAAAUAUUUUAUAUAAAUUACCUAUUUGAUCCGAAAAAAAUUACCUAUUUUCCAUUGAUAGUUAGUUUUACAUUUUGUACUUACCGUGAUUAGAGGAAACUUUCAAACAUGUAGGGGACUGGAGAUGCAUUUAGUUCCUUUCUUUUCUUAUAUAACCACGCGAAGUAUAAACUUUGAUAAGAAAAAGUGUAAAAACUUGUACUAUAUAAUCUCACUAGUAGUAACGAGAGUAAUCAUCCAAAAACAAAAAAAACUACGUAAGGAAAUAAAAGGAAAAAAAA